CCAUCUACAGGCUCAAAUGGAAAAUCAAUGCUCAUGUACUUGUUCUCCACCAAUUUAUGUUGUGGUUGCCGAAAUGGCUCAUAAUCAACGGAGUGAAAUGACUUGAAAACUGCAUCUACGGACUCGUUGAUUUCGGGCCAGUAGUAGGUCCAUGCCGCUAUUACUCCAUUAGGUUUUUUGAGUACCCAUUUUACUUGUUUGUAAAAUUGAGGCAAGUCAAACCAAUGUAGUGCUGUAGCAAUUGUCACUAGAUCUACACUUGAUUGUGUUGCCACAUUUUGUUCAAGCUCAGUUAUGGACAUGGUUGGAGGAGUAAGUUGAUACCGAAUGUUGGGGAGCUUUAUUGCGAAUUCUAGCUGCUUUGGGCUUGUGUCUGUAGCAAUGACAUUCUUGUAGAUUGGUGCAAGCUGAAGACAUAAUUGAGAAAAAAUAUAAAAUAUAGGAGGCUAUAACAAAAGUACACAAAAUUGAGAAGGCCAUAUAUAAAAAUUACAUAGACAUGGUGAAAUUUCAACCCAUACUCAGUUUUUGUGUUUUUUUUUUUUUCAUCCUCAAGGUUGCCGGGAUACUCUAGUUCCCCCCUCGGUAGUUAGAUAAGAUUUUUCUGUACUAGUCUCACGACUAAAUUUCCAGAUAAUGUGGAUAUUGAUUUGUAGAUAAUACAUACAUAAUUAAUCAAUGAAAAUAAUAGGGAUUUAACUAGGGAUUGGCAAUGGGAGGAGAUCGACAUUCCUGUAUCUAUUUCUGAUACUCUACUUGUAUCCUUCUACUCUCCCCGUCCUUUUUAAAAUUGCUUGAGGAUAGGGAUGGGGAUCCCCAAAAACACCCGAUCCCGAACAACUGAUUUUUGAACUUGAUUUAAUCAUAUUAAAGUAAAAAAAUAAAUCAUUUAACAACACAAACACAUCAAAACAAACUAAAAUCAUUAAAAUCAUUUUCAUCAAACUAAUUAAGUUAGUGUCAUCAAAAUUACAAGAUAAUCGAUGAAAUUAAGUAAAAAUAGAACUUCAGGGUUGAACACAUACAUAAAAGUUACAUGGUAUAAACCAUUAAGAAAAUUAUCUUCGUCAAUCUUCAAGUGUUCAUAUCUAUUAUGAUAUUUUUUUUAUUUAUAUCCAUACCAUCACAAUUUAAAUUUUAAAUAUAAUUACUAAAAAUUUUCACAGAAAUAAAAUAAAAUAAAAAAUGGGGAAACGAGAGAGAUGAGGAAUUCACUGAAUCCUCAUCUUCUCCCUGUAUAAGAUAUUGAGUGUUAAGUUAUCUCUGUUCGUUCCCCGAAUUUUAAUUAAGAUACAAAAUUGUUCCCACACCCUACACAAAUGGGAAAAAUCCUUCAAGAUUCGUCCCAUGAGAAUUUCUGCUAUCCCUGAAUUUAACAGUUAUAUAAUUCAACUUUCUUAUAGCUUGGGAUCAGAAUUCUGAAAUAUUAAUAUCGAACUUUUGUAUUAUUCAAAAAUUAAAUCUAAAGAUGUGAAAAGUAAACUUACGGAUGCAGCGGCCUGGCCGCUUCCGGUGCCGACGUCCCAUACAAGCUCGUGUUUGGGUGUUUUAGAGGCAAUGAAUUUGAACAAUUCUUCUGGAUAAUUUGGUCGUGCUUCCGCGUAUUGCUUUGCCUGCUUAACGAACAUAUCUGCCAUCUUUUCUGUUUUUUUCUAAAUAAGUGUUGACAAUAGAAUUGAGAUAAAUCUACUGAUCACUUGUUUCGUUUCUUCUUUAUAUAGGUUUUAGAAUUUGAUGUAGUAGACGAACAGACAAAUUUUAGUUAGAAAUUAAUUUGGUAUGGUUUAUCUGGGGAAGCCCAGAACGAGGACAAGCUCAUAAAGCGUUAAAUUUUGACCGAACUUUUCAUUCUUCCUUUAAUUUUCAAAGAUUCCCUUUUCUUCGCAAAGAUGAUGGUAUGGACUUCAUCAAUGAGCCCACAUCAACUCCACUUAGAGAAUUUUUUUGGGAUAAUUUUGUCAUUAAUUUAAGCUGUUAAAGGUAUCUAAAGAAGUAUUGAACUACUACUUUGCUCUCUUAUGGGGUUAAGAUGGCGGAGUUUAAAGGCAGAUUCACCUCAUGACCAUUAGGAGUUCAAGCUUCCAAUGGAGAAAAUAAUUUAAAAAAAAGUAAUGAGAUGAUUGUUUGAAUUAUUAAUUAGAACCAUUAAAUUUAUUAAAAUAAUCGUGUUAAAUUUAUAAAAAUAGGUCCACAAAUUCAUAAACCUAUAAAAUUUAAAUUUUGACUUUGAAACAUAUAAAAGCUCAUGCUUUAAUUAAAAAAAUAAAUGUUUACAGUAGUCAAAUUUAUUAUUAUUUAAUUUAGCCCUAUUAAAUUUACUAAAGUAACCUCUACAAACUCAUUAAUCUAUAAAAUUUUAGUAUUGAUUACAUUUUGUUAUUAUAUAAUUUAAUCCUCUGAAUUCGCUACCAUUUGGAAUUGGCUCUCUAUUAUUACUCGAUCUAGUCCAAGUUCAAUCAAAGUUGGCUCUCUAUUAUUACUUGUUCUAGUCCAAGUUCAAUCAAAGUUGGCUGUCUAUCAUUGACACUUCUCGUUCAGGUUCAAUGAAAGAGAUCAAAGCAGAGUUUGUUUGCGAUUCAGUUUGUGUAAAUGCAUGUAGGUCCAGGUUGUCUUAUUUUGUGGUCCACUGGUGUAAAGAAUUUAAAAAGUAAUUGGAUAAGAGGAUGCGUCUUGGAUGAUGAAAUGAAGCAAUAACACAUCUUCAUGUGCAGUUUUUACGACGUGCACUCGGUAUGAUUAUGAAUAAAAAAAUUAUUAUCCUGUGGUGUAUUUUUUAUCCUGUAAUUAAUUUUGUUUGUCUUUUAAUAUUGUGUGCUUUUAUAUUAUUUUUUGUACACGUGUCAUUCAUUGUUUCACUACUAUUACCAUGCUCCUAAAAACCUUACUUUUUUUUUUUUUCGGAAGAUGCCGCAUUUGCUUGAUUUCAACAUUGGCAUGCUCGUCCUUCUUACGCUUUUGUCUUUCUAUAAUCAUCAUAUUCAAUGGCAAAAUUUCAACAAGAUAGAGCAAACAUUCAACAAAGAUAAGUCUUCUUAUUGGAUUAGGCAUAGAUUUUUAAUUAAUUUGUUAUGGAAGUUGGUGGCUAUCCACUAUCAGCUUAGAUCAAUUUAACUAGCUAUACUUAAUUAGCUAAGUUAUUUGGGUGAGCAAAGUCUGUUAGUAGUAAAGCUCGGAAAAUCACCUAAGAAAAAUUGAAAAAGGACCAUCAAAUAUACACAGUUUGCUUUGAUUGGCCAUUCAACAAAGCAUCUGAAGAGAUUGGAUGGCUAAAGAGCUAAGGCUUGGCUUUGUUUUGAUUGGCUAAUGGAUCCUAUAAAUAGAGAGCACUGCUCUUCGUGAUUUGUAUCCUAAAUUGAAACCUCAUCAAUUACAAAAAUAUCACCUUCCUUUGUAUCAUCUAUAUAUUAAUUUAUACUUUCUACAUAUAUGUUGUCAAUGAUUAUAACACGUUAUUAGUUAGCACGACAAUCAUUUUGGUACAGGAAGUAUCUUAUCCCCUGCUCUUUUAUUUUAUCUAUUUAAUUAAUAAAGCUAUCUUUAUAAAUAUACUCUGAAGUUGUCAUUAAUUUGGAUCUUCCACAUAAAAAAAAUAUGACUAGCUAUUGUAUUUCUUCUUGUUUAUUUUAUUUUAUUUUUAUAAUAGAGGGGCUCUAGAACGAGCUAAGGUAAAACAUAUAGGGAGUAAAUAAUCCCAUACAAAUCAUUUGCAAUAAAACUAACAACCCCUGGAGGAGGAAUAGAAAAAAGAUGCAAUCCCAAGGGCAGCUCCAAGGCAUAAUUUGUUAGGAAGUCCGCUGCGAAAUUUGCUUCACGAUAUAUGUGGUUGAUGGUUAUAACCCAAUUUCGCUUGAUGAGAUCUCUAAUGGAGCGGAUGAGGUGGGUAUACUCGUUGAUGCUCUCCAUCUCUAAUGGAGCGGAUGAGGUGGGUAUACUCGUUGAUGCUCUCCCUGUGGCUGUUAACCAUCUGAACAACACAGUGGCUAUCCACUUCCACGUGUAAAAACCAAGCACCAUGUUGCCAUGUUAAAAUUAAUCCUUGGUAAAGGCCCCAAAGUUCUGCUGCAAUAACUGAACAGACGCCUAUGUUGAAGCCAAAGCCAGUGAGCCACAUGCCUUGGUGGUUGUGUAUGAGACCUCCAGCACUUGAUGCCCCCAACUCUUUUCUUGCUCUGUCUGUGUUUAGCUUGCACCAGGGCCAGUUAGGUAACUUCCAGGUGAUCAAUCUCUCAAUUUCUCUUGAUCUCAACAACCAAAGAUGAGUUGUUGAUGUUCUAAAUCUCCUCAACUCUAGCUUUAAUAUCUUGUAUUAUACUAAUACUGUCCAUUAUAAAUAAAGAUAAAACAAAACCUUUUUCAAGUCACGGUGUUGUGCAAAUUUUAUUGAACUCGCAAGUGCACGAAUCUAUUGUAGAAUAGACUAAUGGUGACGAGUGUCGAUCCCACGAGAAGGUGGAUUUUAAUUGUGUGUAGAAUUAAUUUUGUAAAUGGGUGGUUGGAUUUGUGGUGAAAAUGAUUUGGAUUAUCCUAAAAUUCGAAUUAAGAUGGCAAGAGUAAAUUGAAGUGAAAAUAUAUUAAAUUGACGUACUUGGGUAUCUGGAUCCGUAUCAACAUGCAUCAUGGGCUAAAUAUUCUUUAUUAAUACCAAUUAAAUCAUGAGGGGGGAAUCCACAUCUCAUGAACCACACUCUAAUCAAUAUGGUGCUAAGGGCUUAUCGUGCCAAAUAAUACUAACCUUGUAUUAGGAAGCCAGUGAAACCAAGGCGGUACUAAACAAGAUUAUUAUUAUUUGUCGACGAGAAGUCAAAACAUCCACAAACACUAGAGGGGAAUAGAAAAUAAAUUUACCAAAUAAAGCCCAUGACACAUGUUGAGACUUCACCUUCAACCCAAGCUUGAAAGAAAAUUAGUCACUCAUAAUUGAACUAGGGGAAAAAUGGGAAUUUAUUAAAAUACGUAGAAAAUACAAGAUAGAGAAGGAAUUAUAGAUCCCAAAAAUGGAUUCAGAGAUAUCAAAUUAGGGGGGGAGGCCCCCUUUUUAUAGAUACAUUGAGUAAAUCAUGGCCAUCGGAUUAAAAACAGUUUGGACGCUCAGGAUUGCGCCACGUCAUCAGUCAAUAGUACGCGGUUUGACCACGCGGGUGAACAGUAACACGGUUUGACCGACUUUGAACAGUAACGCGGUUUGGUUGAAAAUAAUCCUGUGUAAUGCAUGUACCGUACGCGCAAGUUUUGGUCCACUAAUAUGCUGCCACGUCACCAUCAACAGUUCAUAAGAAUUUUAGACCAACAGAAUCAUGACACCUCAUCAGUCAAUGCCAUGUCAUCAAUCCGUCUAUGUGAACAGUGUCGUGAACAGUAACGUAGACAGUACCGUACAUGUAAAUAGUACCGUACAUGUGAACAAUGCCAUUUUUCCUUUUAUGCUCCUCCUAAGGUUUUCGACCGUCCUGAGUUCAAAAGUGAUGUCCGUUUUGCCGUCUGAUCUCUCGUUUAUUGUGAAAUGACCAUGAUGCCCCUAAAAUACAUAAAAUACUUAAUUAAAAUAAAACACACGGAAUUAAAUCAAAAGAAGGUUACAUACAUAAAAGUAAGGGUGUUAGUAAAACUUGAAGUAUAAAAUGACGAUUUUCUCCUUUAUAAAUAUACAUUUUCUAACACUCAACACACGGGUUCUUUGUAUAUCAGCCUAUGUGGAUCCCACGAUUGAUAUUGGUUUCGUCUAAUUAGCUGGCGACGGUGACGAACUCAUUCUCUUUUUUUUAAUCAAACUUUCAAGCCCUAACUUUAUCCAAGUUCUUCACAAAAAUUUGAGGCUUAUUUCCAAGGGUAUUUUAGGUCAAGGAUGGUGGCUUUGAAGGUUUAUAGAAGCGGCUUGUGAGGUAGAUCAUUGUUAGAUAGAGAGAGAGGUAGAGACAAAGAGAGAGAGAGAGAGAGAGAGAGAGAGAGAAGAGAGCUUCAGUUCAGAGAAGAAAAUGGCCAUGGGGAUAGAUUUUUUGCUUAUCAAAAUUUUUAGAUUUUAGGUUUCCAUGUACACCUCAUUAAAACAGCAUAGUUUCUAGAUAAUUUAAUUUAAUUUUUAAUAAUUACUACAUCAAGCGAAAAUACAACUUGUGGUCUGGUUGUUUAACGUUUAAAAUUAAAAAGCUAAAGCUUAGAAGUCUACGGUUCGACUCCUAGCGUAUACAAAAUUAAAAUUUUAUUUUGUUAAUUACUGAUACCUUAAUGUCACAUAUCUUUGAUACUUAUCUAUUAAGUGCAGAAAAUGUCCCAAAUGCAUGUAAUUACUGAUACUUUUUAAUAAAGUGUCACAAGAUAAGUGUCAACAAAUACCAUUUUUCUUGAAGUGUUAAUUAAAAAAAUUCGAUUUUACCCUCAAUGAAUUACACAGUAAACAACAAUAAAUUAACGGAAGGGUGUUUUGAGCUUUUUUUUUUUUAAAGUAUGGAUGAAAUGAACUGUUGUUUGAAUAAUAAGGAUGAAUUAGGCUAUUGCAACAAAUUCAAGGGAUGAAAAAGGAUUUUUCUCUUUUACUUAGGUGCUGUUUAUUUUUUAGUUUGAAGUUUGAAUUUAAUUUUUUUUAGACAUUUGUUUAUUUUAGGUUUUUUUUUUAACUUAUCACUUAUUGUCAUAUAGUUUAUCUGAAUAGAAAAAGUAGAAAAAGUUCACUUUAUUUGAAGUCUGAAGUCUAAAUAUAUAUUUUUAAUUUCAAAUCUCAAAAAUACCCUUAACAAUUCAUGUAUUUCUAAUAUUAUGUAUAAACCUUAUAUUUUUGUAUUAUUCUUGAAGUUAUUUUUCUAAUUGCUUUAAAUUUUUAUUCACAUGAUAACAUUAACUAAACUGAAAUAUUGAACAAAUCAAAUUAUGUUAAUUGUGAUGAAUCAAAAAUAAAAUAAUAGUGUUGACUUUAUAAUAAACUUUAAUGUUAUAAUUACAUCUUUCAUUAAAAAAUUAAAAGAAGAUCAACAAUGAUAAUAUUUUUUUUAAUGUUACCAAACUAAUCAACCUGUGAAAAUUAUAACUGUGAAGAACAAAUAUAUGCACCACUUAAAAUGAUAUUUAUGCCAAAUUACUAGUUUUUAGGAUUUUCUCUUUAGAUGUUGAAAAAGAAAAACAAAGAUGUCAUUCAAAUAUUUUCAUUCAUAUUUAUUCAGAUUUUAGUUAAAUUCAGAUCUAUUCAGAUUUCAGAUUAAAAAAAAAAAUGCAAUCUUAGUUUAUAGGUACAGGACUCCACUCUAGCAUGGUUUUUAAUAUAAAAAGAGAGAGAGAGAGGAGAGAGAAAAUGGAUAAAAGAAAGAGUAAUGAUAAAAAUUAAAAUAAUGCUCGUGGGCAUUUUAGUCAAUUCAAGUUGAGAUGAAUGGAAAUCAAAAAAUAAAGAGGAAACCUAUUUGAAGUUUUAAACCGAUAAAAAAAAUAUUUUAUGUUGUAUUUCUCCCGAUACCCAUUAAUUAAAUUUUAAAUUUAUGAUUAUCCUUUAAACAUCCCUCUUAAUUUCAAAAAUAGCCCUUUAUUCUUUUCCACCAUAAUGGUGUUUUAAGCGAUACAUAAAAUGUUUUUCUACCAUAAUUUUGAAUUUCAAAAACUUGCUUUAGUGUUGGUUAAAAAUAAUUAUUUUUCAGGAUUAAUAAAAGUUUCUUAUCAUAAACUCAUUGUAAUUUUUUCUUAGUUGACGAAACUCUACAAAACUGAAUUUGUGUCCCUAGCAAUGCCACUUUGAAGCUUUUACAAAAUUAAUUGUGAUGUCACUGAUGUGUCUAUUAUUUUAAGCUACAAUCAAGGCAUAAAACCUUGUCAAUCUUGUAAUAUGCUGGUGUUGGGGAUUUGGCGAGGGUAUUGUAAUUAAAAACUUCAAUUACAUUAAAAGAUUUAGGAAUAAUGUUUUAAUUAUAGAUUCAUAGCGGAAAUCCUUUUUUGGGAUCCUUUUAUUAAGCUGUAGUCACAGUCAAAUAAUCAUUUGGCUUUAAGUUUUUGAUAUAUAUAUCUAUAUAUACAUGCACACAUAUACAUACAUACAUAUGUAUGUAUAUAUAUUCAACAGAGAAGAUUGAAACUAUAUGUAACACAUUAGACUGAACUUGCCCAUGAGCUAUCUGAUCUAAAAUUAUUGAUGAACUAGACAUAGGGGUUCACCUUGUAGGGAAAAUAGAAUCUAGAUCGUUUAAUGCUAUAUUUAAUAUUGGCGUAACAAUUGGACACUAUUAGAUUGCAUUAGAUAUAAGAUAUCCAACAAGCGAUAGCUGAGAAUGCAUAAGGGAUUCUACCCAGUGCUGUUGCAACAGUUUCUCAAUUAGAAAGACAGUAAACACCAUUAAGUCACAUUGCUUUUAUCCCUCUGUCUGACGUGAUAAUUUUCUUUACUACAUUUUUUAUUUAUUGUAUUUUUAUUUUAAUUAGUUUAUUAGUAUUAUUAGUCGAUUUAUUUCCAAUUAAAACAAAACUGCGUUGUUAAGAUUGUUAUAGCAAAUAUGAUAACAUAAAUCCCUAUGGAGACGAUCUGGAUACUCAUCAGUAUAUUACUUGUUGUGUACACUUGAACAUUGACAUCCAUAGCAUUAAAGAUUUUACACACCACAUAUUUACAAAUUAAAUAAGGCUUUGUACAGUUUAAAAUAAGCACUUAGAGCUUAGCUUGUUAGAUUCAAGUAUGUAAGGCUUUCUCAGUGGCAUUUUCAGCACUCCAAGUCUGAUAACUCUCUUUUCCUCAAAUGGGAUAGAGGUCUUUUGGUUCUAGUUUUGGCAUAUGUUUAAGACAUGAUCAUCACUAGCUCCAGCUCUUUUAUAGUUCAACAGGUUAUUCAAGAAAUGCGUUACACAUUUGCUUUAAAAGACUUGGCAAAGCUCCAUUAUUUUCUAGGCAUUGAAGUCAUAAAGACUCAAAAUAUAGUUCAUUUAUCUCAAGCCAAAUAUAUUGUCGACAUUUUAGCAAAACAUGGACAUGGCUAGUUGUAGUCCAGUGCCUAUACCUAUGUGAACUGGUCAUAUCUUAAAGACUUAGGUGAUGAAAUUGAUAAUGCAUCUUAGUGUAAAAGUGUUAUUAGAGCUUUGUAAUAUGCCACUCUCACAACGCGAGAGCUAGCCUUCUCAAUUAACAAAUUAAGCCUAUUUUUCUUACGUCCAAGGACUCAUCAUUAGGAAGCAUGAAUACGACUCUUGAUAUACUUGAAGGGUACUUUACAUUUUGGAUUGCAUUUCUAUAGUUGUCGUGCUAUGCAGUUAAACUAUUUUGUAUAAUAUUAUUGGGCUUGUGAUAGAGACGAUAAGGAUUUGCAAUAUAUCCAGGUCCCAACUUGGUUUUAUAGUUAUCUAAGAACCAAUCAGUGGUCUUUCGAUCAAGCACAAAGGCUGAGUAUAUAGCUUUAACUCAUUCAACUUAGCACCAUGCCUAUAAUCUGGUGUGCCAAUCAAGAAGCAACUACUUUGGCGUAUAACCCCAUUUAUCAUGCUAAAACCAAACACAUUGAGCUGGACAUACAUUUCAUUAGAGACAAAGUUGUAGCCAAGCAAAUUCAAGUUUGUUUUAUACUAAGUGCAGACCAAACAACUAAUUUGUUAACCAAAGCACAUACUUUUAAACGGCUCUAUUACUUGCGUAGCAAGUUGAAUGUUCAUUCUAGACAUUUUAACUUGAGGGAGGUUGCAAGUGAAUCAGAUGUUACUUGAAUGCAGAGCAUAUGGUGCAGCCAAUAGCAGCAGAUCAACUACUAAGCUAAUGUAGCAGAAUUAGCUAUUUGGUUUAACUUGUAUUAAGCAAAGCUCACGUGAGCAUAACAGAAUAAAAAGCAUUUAUAACGGAAUUAGAAGCAUGUAGAAUUCAGCACUAUAAAUAUGUAACGUGCUUUCAUUUCAAUUAAUUAAUUAGAAUCUUCUACAAGUUUCUUCAAAAUAUUCUCUCUCGUUUUCUAGUAUUUCUUGCUACUUUCUUACUUGCCAAACAUCUUCCAAUAUUCUAAUAUUGUACAAGUCAAAAUGUCAAACCAGUGCAUGGCUUGAGCAUUAAUUGUUGACACGACUCAAAAGUAUAUUACUCCCAAGUAUAAGAUUAUCUAGUUAUAAUAUAACCCGGUAAAUCCGGGAUCGAAUCACAGAGAAUUUAAAAUCUAGUUGUCAAUUUAUUGGACAAAGAAAAUUAAUUGCGGUAAAAGAAAUCACUAGAAAAAAAAUUAAAAAUAUGCUAAGGUUUCGAGAUCCACUCUUAAUAUUCAAACUAUAAUUUUAAUACUUUCUCAUUUAUAUUUUUUUCUCACUUUUACCAGUUAAUUAUUAUAUCAUUUAAUUCUAUGUGUGUGGAUAAAUAUGGAAUAAAGUACCUAAUGUGCCACAACUGUAUUAAUGUAUCGACAUUAUGUCAAAAUACCAUAUAGAUCCAAAAGAAUGUAUAAAUUAACAUGACAUAAAAAUAACCAGAAAAUAAUAAAAUAAACUUAAAAACUCACUUUGAGAAAAUAAUAAAUUUAAUAGUUUGAAACUUUAAGCUUUACCCUUCACCUUAGCUUAGUAAAAUUAGCCACUCAUAUUGAAAGAAAACACAACAUUCUUUUUAUUUGAUAAACUUUUGAAAUAUGUUAUAAAGAAAAUUGAUACAAAUGGAAACAAGAAAAGAAAAGUAAGAAAGAAAGAAAUUCUUCAGCUGCACCCUUGGCUACCACUCUCUCUCUCAGCUCUUGGCUCAACUCCCCCCUAAAUUGCUUGCAUCCCCUUGCCUUUUAUAGGUAAGGGAAGCAUCUUCUUUUCUUUUCUUUUAUUAAUAUUAAUAUUUUAUUUUAUUUUUAUAUUAUAUAUACAUAUUGAAAGGGGUGAUGGCCAGGAGGCGUGAUGGCCUCUUGACCAUCACAAGCAACCAAAUCAUAGCUGCCUUUUGUUCUUUUGUUCUUUUUUUUAUUUUAUUUAUUACAUCUCCUUAAUGAUGCAUUCUAAAUUGCUCCAACAGUCCUUCUUUGUUCCCGCUUUCGAUUCCAAUUCCAUCUUUAUUCCUGAAAAAUAUUUACAAGAUAAAAAUUAACAUAUUACGAAUUAAUUUUACAUAAAAAUAUAUUUGGGGAGUAUUAAGAUAAUUUAUAAGUAAUGAACACAUUAAUCGACAUAAUAAGUGAAAAACUAAUAAUUUUAUCGUUAUUAAAUGUACACUUUUUAAUGCCAAUCAAUUGUCGCUUAGAUCAAAGGUUGAUUGUGCCGCCAUGUUUUAUUCAAGCUUAAAAAUGGACAUAGGACAUUGCUGGUGUAGUGAACUGUAUCGAUUGUUGGUGGCUUUGUCGCAAAUUCUAAUUGUUUUGGGCUUGUAUUCGUGCCUGUGGCAUUUUUUAAGAUCCUAGGUCUGAAAAUUUAUGGAACGACUUAAAAACAUUUGAUUUACUCUCAAGUGUAAGAGUACCUAGUUAUAAUAUAUCUCGGUGAGUCCGAGGUCGAUCCACAGAGAAAAGAUUUAAUUAAUUUAUUUUAUUUUAUCUAAAAUUUGAAAAUAAAACUUAAAUACAAACAACUUAAUUUAAAUAAAACUAUGAAAUUGAAUUAGUUAGGGUUGUGGAUUCACUCUUAGUUGUAAAUAAAACUUAAUAAAUUCUUUUUGCCAUUUUUUUAGAUUUAUUGCCCAAAAGAUUCAUUAUAUAAAUUAUUAUUAUUUUCCCUUUAAUUUUAUAAUGGAUUAAGUAUUCAUUGUGCCAAAAUUUAAUUUGUCUACAAUAAGUCAAAAUACCAUUUUACCAUACCUUAUAUUAAGAUAAAAAGAAUUUAUUGUGCCAAACUCCCUUGUUUGUCUACAAUAAAUCAAAAUUUCAUAAUAUAAAAUGCGUAUAAAAUUAAAUAGAAAAUAACUUAAUUUAUAAAAUUAAAAAUAGAAUUUGAUUAAAUCAUAUUUAUUUCCUAAGAGUUCACCUUCCCCUAACUAUUAAUAUUUAGCUAAACAUUUUUUUAAUAAAGGAAAUUACUAAAAUUGAAAAACACAUAAUUAAAAAUGGAAUUUGAAAAUUGAAAUAAAACUAAUUUUAUUGAUUGAAAAUAAAUUACAAAGAGAGAUGAAAAGAAGAAUUUGGGGGGAAAGAAGAGAAGAGAAGGUGUGGAGAGGUGUGUUCACCCCCCCUCUAUUUAUACUAAUACAUGGUAAAUUCUCACCACACAAAUAAAAAAUCUAAUUACAUCUUAACCUUACAUUUGUCCCACUAAUAAUCCCACUAAUGAAACAUAAACCUAACUUAUCCACUCAAGCAUAUCCAAUACAUUCCACUAACAAUUACCAUACCUAACAUGAUAAAAACUUAUAAUUUUAUAAUUGCCACAUUUACCGUGGUAAAAACGUAAAAAUUUACAACAAAAGUCUUGGAUCCUCCUCGACAAUGACAUAAUUUCUCGGACUUCCGGAAUCCAAAUUUAACAUCCAUACAUUUGAUCGGAGCCUCAAAUUGCAUGAAAUUAUUAUUUUUACCUAAUAAACAUAAAAUACAUAAAAUCAAAUAUUUAGAAAAAUAAUUAGAAAUUCACAAUAUGUUACACAAUUACAAAUAUAAAUUACAUUAAUAAAAAAAUAUAACAUUUUAACCCUUAAUAAACAUGCAAUUUUUAACACUAAUCACACCCCCCAACUAGCUUAUUGCUAGCCCCUAGCAAUUAAAGCGUUAUAUUAAAUUAAGAUUUACAAAAUUCACAUGCAAGUUAAUAGUUGUUCAUCUAUCCUCUAAAUUACCAAAUAAAUAAACUCUCCCAAUUUUUUUUUUAAAUCUUGGUCGUCCACUCAUUAUCCAAAAUAUCAUAAACCUUAUUUUCUGCUCAAGUAAUUAACACAAUACUUAUGGGGUUUCAUUAAAAGAAAACAAUAUUUUCGUUUUAAAACUCAUUAGAAAUUCUAUCUUCAGGCAGUAGAUUAUUCAAGCUUUUUUUUUUAAAUUGCAUUUUUAACCCAUGUAGCGAGCUUUAGGUCAGUGUCUCCCAGACCAGUUGACCUUAGGACAAUCCAUAACUAGGCCACCUUUCUUUGACUUUAAUGACUACCCAUAUUGAAAAACUAGGAGAAUUUAUUUGUAAGCUUUAGGUUAUAAAAUUUGGCAAGUUGUUUGUGAUGGUUCAUUCAUGCCUAUGACUAAAAAUAAAGUAGGAGAUGAUAUUCAAAAACCUUCAAGUCAAUGAAGUGAGUUAGAAAAGAAAAAGAUAUCUUUAAACUCUAAGGCAGUGAAUGCUUUGUUUUAUACUCUUGAUAAGAAAGAUUUUCUUAGAGUGUCUAGUUGUAAGAGUGCUCAAGAAAUAUGAAACAAACUUGAAGUUGUCUAUUAAGGGACAAAUCAAGUUAAAGAGUCUAAGAUUAGUAAAUAUACUCGACAAUAUGAAUUUUUCUAAAUGGAACAAAAUGAGAGCGUGUAUUCUAUUUAUACUAGGUUUACAUAUAUUGUGAACACAUUAGAAGCCCUAGGAAAAAUAUUUUCGAAUAGCAAAAAAGUUAAGAAAAUUAUUAGGUCUUUACCAAUAGAAUGGAGACCUAAGAGAACUGCCAUAGAGGAAGCUAAAGAUUUAAAUACUUUGCAUAUUGAUGAUUUAAUUGGUUUUCCUAUUUCAUAUGAGGAAGAUUUGACAGCAGAAAAAGACAAUAAGGAAAAAAAAAAAAAAGAAAAGCAUUGCACUUAAAGCAUCAAAGCAUGCGAGUGAUGAGGAAAGCGAGCUUGAUGAUGAAGAUAUGGCUAUAUUGUCCAAGAGGUUUAAAAAAUUCUUCAAGAAAGCCGGUGAGCGGAAAAGAUUCAGAAACUACAAGAACCAAAAGGAGAAGAAGGAGCUAAUUACUUGUUAUGAGUGCAAGAAUCAUGGACACAUACGAUCGGAAUGUCCUCUUCUCGAAAAGCUUAAGAAGAAGGCAAUAGUAGCCAUAUGGGAUGUUAGUGAUAAGGAAACAAGUGAUGAUAAAGAGCAACAAGAGAUGUAAAAUCUAGCUCUCAUGGAAUUGGGAUGAAUCGUUUGACGAACUUGAUGAAGUAAGUGAUCUACCUAUGAUUAAUUAUAUAAUGCUUUUAAGGAAUUGCAUGAUGUAUGCCUUAAAAGGAAAAUGCUAGAACUUUCAAAUGAAAAUGAUGUCUUGUAAAAUGCAAUGAUUCAUUGAAUAAAAAGAUCAAGGGAUUGGAAUUAGAUAAUGAAAUGUUGUAUGAUAUGAUUACAUCAUUUAAAUAUAAAUAAAGUACUUCAUAUGAGCAUGAAAAAUCACAUGUUGAUAAAUUGAUAAAAGAAAAUGAAGUGCUUAAGAAAAAGAGUAAUGAACUCAACAAAAUUUUGUUAAAAUUCACAAGUGGUCAAAAGAAUUUAGAAAAAUUGCUGAACUCUAAAAAAUGUGUAUUUGAUAAAGGAGGACUUGGGUAUAAGCCUAGCUUGACUUGAAGCAAAAGUAUUUUAGGAAUUACUUUGUUAAAGCUACCUCCACUAGUGAUCAUAAAAUUAAUUGUCAUUAUUGCAAUCAAAAUGGUCAUAUGAAAUAUAGAUGUCUAAUGAAAAGAAAUGCAUUCAAUGGAGUCAAAUGUGUAGCUCCAAAAGGAACUAUUGCUAACACUCAAGGACCCAAAGAAAUUUGGGUACCUAAGACUUGAAAUUUCCUCUGCAUGGUUUGAAGAAGAAAAAGAAUAAACGGCACCUGGACAGUGGUUGCUCAAGGCAUAUGACUAAAAUUAUUCUUGGUUUUCAAGUUUUACCAAGAUUGAAAACAGUAGAGAUGUGUCAUUUGGAGAUAAUUCAAAAGGAAAGAUUAUCAGUAUCGGUAAUAUUAGUAAAAAAUCCUCUACUCUUAUUGAAAAUGUGUGUUUGGUUGAAAACUUGAAAUACAACUUACUUAGCAUUAGUCAAUUGUGUGAUAAAGACUAUAGAGUUAUCUUUGAUAAAUCGAAAUGUGUUAUUGAGAAUGCAUAUGAUGGCAAGAUUUUGUUUGUAGAAAAUAGAUGUGUUAAUGUUUAUAUCAUUAAUAUAGAUUGUGUAUCUACUUAUGAUAAAUGUUUCUCUACAUUACAUGAUUAUAGUUGGUUAUGGUAUAGAAGACUAGGUCAUGCAAGUAUGGAUUUGAUUUCAAAGAUUUCAAAAAAUGAUUUGGUUAAUGGCCUUCCAAAAAUUAGUUUUCAAAAAGAUAGAAUUUGUGAAGUUUGCCAAUUUGAAAAAUAAAUCAAAACUUCUUUAAAAAAAAGAACCAUGUCUCAACUUCAAAACCACUUCAACUACUUCACAUGGAUUUGUUUGGACCUUCUAGAUAUGUAGUUUAAGUGGCAAAUAUAUGCAUUUGUGAUUGUGAAUGAUUAUUCUAGAUACACAUGAGUAUUGUUCUUUGAUAAUAAGAAUGAUGCCUUGGAUGCAUUUAGAAUUUUCUACAAAAAGGUUCAAAAUGAAAAGGGAUGUGCUAUUUCUUGUAUUAGAAGUGAUCAUGUGGAGAAUUUGAAAAUCAUGUAUUUGAGAAUUUUCUAUAAAAAGGUCAACACUGCUUGUUAUGUUUUAAAUCAUAUGUUUAUUAGACCUUAUCUCAAUAAGACUCCCUAUGAGCUUUGGAAAGAUAAAAAACUCAACAUUGGUUAUUUCAAAAUUUUUGGAUGCAAAUGUUUUAUUUUGUAAACAAAAGAUAAUCUUGGCAAAUUUGAUCUAAAAUCUUAUAUUGAUAUUUUUCUUGGUUAUUCAAAUACAAGCAAAACUUAUAGAGUGUAUAAUAAAAGAACUUUGGUUGUGGAAGAAUCUAUGCAUGCUAUAUUUGAUGAGUCUAAUCCUUCCUCUACGGAGAGAGUUGUUGUCGAUAAUAAUAUAGAUGAACAGUCACAACAAGGAUUAUCAAAAGAUAAACAAGAUGAUGCAUCACAUGAAAAUAAAGAGGAUAGACAAUGAGAAUAAAUAAAUGAGGAGCAACAAGAAGGUACAUCUCAAACACUCCCCAAGGAGUGGAGGUAUGUUUCCCCUCAUCCGAAGGAUUUAAUUGUAGGUGAUCCUUCAAGAGAUGUUACCACUAGAUUAUCAUUUAGAAAUACUUGUGAGCACGCUGCAUUCAUAUCUCAAAUUGAACCAAAUUCUUUGCAGAUGCGAAAAAUGAUGAAUCUUGGAUCAUGGCAAUACAAGAGGAGUUGAAUCAAUUUGAGAGAAACAAUGUGUGGAAAUUAGUUUCUAAAUCGGAACAUCAAUCUAUUAGGCACUAAAUGGGUAUUGAGAAAUAAAAUGAAUAAAUCCAGUGUGGUUGUAAGGAAUAAAGAUAGAUUAGUGGCUCAAAGAUACAACCAAGAAGAAGGAAUUGAUUUUGAUGAAACAUUUGCGCCUGUAGCUAGAUUAGAAUCCAUUAGGAUGUUGUUAGCAUUUGCAUGUCAUAAAUAUUUAAUUUUUAAUCAAAUAGAUGUCAAAAAUACUUUCUUAAAUGGUUAUAUUAUGGAGGAACUUUAUAAGUUUUCUAAAGCACUGUAUGGAUUUAAAACAAGCACCUAGAGCAUCGUAUGACAAGCUUAAAAAUUUCUUGCUGGAUAAUGAGUUUUCAAUGGGAAAAAUGGAUACUACUCUCUUUGUUAAGCAUAAGAACCAAGAUAUACUUGUUGUUCAAAUUUAUGUUGAUGAUAUUAUCUUUGGUUCUACUAAUGAGUUUUUGUGCAAGGAGUUUUCAUCUUGUAUGAUGAGAGAAUUAAAGUAUUUCCUUGGACUUCAAAUCAAACAAAACAAUGAGGGAAUCUUCAUCAACCAAGCUAAAUAUGUCAAAGAUCUACUCAAAAGAUUUGACAUUGAUGACUCAAAUCCAAGAGACCUCCAAUGAGCACAACAAUCAAGCUUGACAAAGAUGAAAAAGAUAAUAAGAUUGAUAUAAAAAUGUAUCGAUGUAUAAUCAGCUCUUUACUUUACUUAGCCGCAAGUAGACCUGAUAUCAUGUUUAGCGUAUGUUUGUGUGCAAGAUUUCAAUCAUGUCCCAAGGAAUCUCAUUUGCUUGCUGUGAAAAGAAUUUUUCGUUAUUUGAAUAGAACUAUAGAUCUUGGCCUUUGUUAUCCUAGAGGAACCUAUAUAGAUUUAACUUAUUAUUCGGAUGUCAAUUUUGCUGGUUAUAAAAUCGAUAGGAAAAGCAUUAGUGGAACAUGUCAUUUCUUAGGUCAUUCUCUUAUUUCAUGGUUUAGUAAGAAACAAAAUUCGAUUUCACUCUCAACCACCGAGGCAGAAUAUAUUGCCGUAGGUAGUUGUUGUCCACAAACUCUUUGGAUGAAACAAACACUUAGAGAUUAUGAAUCUUGAACAAAUUCUUAUCAUGUAUAAUAAUAUUAGUGCUAUAAAUCUAUCAAAGAAUCCCAUUUAGCACUCUAGAACCAAGUAUAUAGAGAUUAGACAUCAUUUCUUGAGAGAUUAUGUUCAAAAGGGCAACAUUGCAUUAGAAUUUAUCUAUACAGGAAAAAAAAACUUGCCUAUAUUUUUACAAAACCUCUUUGCGAAAAAUAAUUUUCAAAAAUUUGGCAUAAACUUGGGAUAAUGAAAUUUUCGCAUUAACAUCUCUAAUCAUGUUAUUGAAUCUAUUAAAAUUGAUUGAUUGAUGAUUUGCUUAUGAUUACAAAGUUUUUAAGCAUGAUAAAUGAGUGAUGUAUUUGAAUCAAUAAUCUUUGAAUGCUUACAUGUCUCAUGAUUGUGUGAUGUAUAUGUAUGAUAAAUGUGUUAUAUAUUUAAAUUUAUAAUCUUUGAAUAUUUAUAAUUAUGAUUCAUGCAUUAAAAUGGCUUUUGAAAGUGUUCGGGAUCACGAAAUGGUUUUGGAAUCGAUCAAAAUUAGCCGGAAAGCAAACAUUUGUGCAAAAGGGCAGCAAAGAGACAGUUACCCGCUUGCCCCAAACCCGAGAGUAAGCGGCUAGCCAUUUGCCUCUAAGCGACUAGCCGCUUGGUCACGGUUUUUAUACAUUUCUUCCCCCUUUCUCUUGCUUUCUUCAACCUUUCUCUACUCUCUUUCAUGGCCGUUCAUCUUUCCUCCAUUUCCUCUUAAAUUAUUUUCAUUUCUCAGUCAUUUUCAUGCCAAAAUCAAUCUUUUAAACCAUUACCCAUGCAUUUAACCUUCAUUAAACACUUCCCAAUCAUCAUUUCAUCACUUGUUUCUCCAAAUCUAAAAAUCAAAACCUAAGCUUACCUAUAUCUCUCUCUUAUAUUUUAGGCUCUUUUUAGCUCAUUUUUUUUAUCCAAUUAAUACCAUACAUUGCCUUAAAUCAUCUCUAGGAUCAAUUUUAUUGAUUCAAAUACAUUCAUUUCACUCAAAAUCUUGAAAAUUCGAAUUUAGGUAUUAAAGCUUGUUCUUGUUUUCAACAAUAGUUAGUAGCCAAAAAUCCAAGGGAAAACAUAUAGCCAAGAAGCGCAAGGAAGAUCAUGGAGACAAUCUAGAGUUCAUAUUAACACAUUUUCUGCAACCACCUUUUCAGAAAUGUUUUCACGAUAAAUUUAUGUCGAGGUUGGUUAUUGCCCCCUAUUUUGUCAAUCUUCUUCAUUCGGAGAAUUUAGCAAUUUUUGAUAAAUCUCUUAGUGAUUUUCUUAUUGACAUGGGUUAGAAAAAUGUUUUAGUUUUCAAGGAACGAUGUUAUGAAAUUUAGUUAAAGUUUUUUAUUCGAAUAUGGUUAUUUCUUUGCAAACUACAAAUAGAAUUGUUACAAGUGUUGGGGGAAUACAUAUUGAGUUUGAUGUUGUGGAUUUAAAUCAUAUUCUUAGAACUCCAAAUGAAAGGUUGGAACAUUAUACUGCUAAAAGGAAAAUAGAUUAUUCGUGGUAUUCAGUUGAGGAUAUUGUUCGAAAAAUUUGUAGAUGUUUCGAUUUGUCCUUUAAGUUUUGUAAAUCUACCUUGAAAUCUCAAGCCUUACCCCUUCAACUUAGGAUCCUUCAUUAUGUUCUUUAACAUGUCAUUAGUCUUAGGCCUGGACAUGGGGAUGAAGUUACUCGAUUAGAUGUGGCCUUAUUGGAUAGCAUUCUAAAGGGUAGGGUGCUAAAUGUCAGUUAUAUUAUUCUUCAUCAUAUACUUAGCACUCCAUGUAUAGCAAAACGAUCCCUUCCUCAUGGAAGCAUUUUUACCCACAUUCUCAAACAAUUUUGGGUACCCAUAAUCGAACCAACAUUUUUGAAUCCUAAGGAAUUAGGAGAUGAAGCUAUAGCCAAUUUAGGGUUUAUAUGGACGGAAGAUAAAUGGUGUAAAAACCAGAGAUACAAAAACAAGGGUACUACAUUAGCUCCUAUAGAUCAUCGUUUCUUUAACGAUGUUCUUCCACCAAACCAGCUCCUUGAUCUCAAUGCUCCACAGCGCUCACAUCCUUCGUCUUCUGAGGGUCCUUCCUAUUCUACUUCAGCAGACCUUGAGGAUCCAAUACAGUAGCUAUUAACUGAAGUGCAUUCUCUUUUUGAGCCGCAGAACCAAUUUCAGUCCCAGUUUGAGGCCUUUCAAAUUCAGUCCACUUUGAAGCAACAACGCCUGUUUAAGCAGUAACAAUGUUUAUUUAAUCAACGACAUCGACUCUUUGCUCAACAACAGUAGCUUUUUGAUGGUCAACAACAACUUUUCGCUGCUCUUGGGUUUCCACCGCCAUCCUCAUUAUCACAUUCACCAUCUUCAUAGUGUUCUAUUCUUUUUCAUCUUGAUUUUAGUUCUUUGUUUUAUUCUGCACUACAUUUUCAUAUGCAUUGUUGUUUUACUUAUGGAUUAAGGAUGAUUGUUGUUUGAUAUUUAAAUGUUUUACAUUUGGAUGAUAUUUUAUGGAUUCUUGGAUAACUCUUUGGUUACUUGCAUGCUUGAUUUUUAUAUGUUUCUUGAUUAUCUAUUGAGAUGUUAUUUUUGGUCUGAGCAUGGAGUUAUAGUAAUUGUGAUGAUGAAGAGGGAGAAGUCAUGUAUUUUGACCUUGAAAUAUUGAUGCAUGAUUUUGAAAUAUUUAGAGGGACCAUACAUUUGUUAAAGAUCAUGUAUUCAGGGAGAGUUCAUAGUUCAUUUAUAUGUUGAAUUAUGUAUGCCAUAUAUUAAGGGGGAGUAUAAAUGUCAAAAUACAUGAAAUGUUUGUCAUCAUCAAAAAAGAAAAGAUUGUUAGCCUAAAGGGUUACAUAUAUUGUAAUUUUGAUGAUAAAAAACAUGUCUUAAGUAAUAUGAUAAAUAUUGUAUUUCACAUUUUCACUAGUUCUUGAAGGAUAAUAUUUAGGCAAGUGAAUCACGUGAAAUCAGGCUCAAGGCACUCAACGUACAAUAGCUCGAUCAAGAACAAAAUUUAGUUCAACGAAGUCAUUAUUGCGACAAAUUAUUGUAAAGCUGAUAUGAUUUAAUGUAUGCAGGGUUUAGCAUUUAAAAAGCUCGAGAAGUUGUGGGUAAAAAUAUAAUUUUUAAUAUAAUAUUAUUGUAGAAAAAUUCAAAUUGCAACGGUAACUUGCACUGUAUUAAGUGGUGAGCCGGCUAGUUAAGAGGCUAAUCGCUUGCUUGCGGGUUUUGUCCAUAAUGGCUAGUUUUUGUAUCAAAACUAUAUAAAAUCAAAUCCAGUUCAUUUUUAAAGACUUUUGCAAGUAUAAACAAGUGUAAACAAUAUAUUUUAAGCUUCUAAUUCGCAAAUCAUCAUAGAUUAAAUAUUCAUUGAGUUAUUAUUAAGAGGUUAAUAUCGUAGAGGUUACCGGGCAAAGCCAAAUUGAACUUGGAGAAUCUUAGUAAGUGUUCAAUUUUGACCAGAAUUUUUCAUUUUCAACCUUUAAUUUUCAAAGAUUAACCAUUAUGGACUUGCUUUUUUUUGUUUGUGCUUCAAUAAGCUAGUCUUCUUUCACAUUGCUUAAUUACAAAAUUUUACUACUAAUACAUCAAUUUAUUAAUUUUUUAUUAUUUUACUUUAUAUUUACAAGUCUUAUACUCCAUUUCUAAAUUUUAUAUUUUAUUUUACAAAUAACGUUGAUUUAUAAAUUUUAUAUUAAAUUCACAAAUUUUCUGUUUGAUUUACAUAAUCUAAGUUUAAUCACAAUAUUGAUACCAUGGUUUUAGUCACUACUUUAAUUAACAACUAGAUACGGAAAAAAAUAUAUAUUUUAACUAACUCAUUACAUGAAGCUUUUAAUAUAUUAUAUUCUAAAAUAAUUAAAAUAUAUAAGACAAAAAUCCUGACAUUCUUGCUGUUUUUGGAACGUUAUAGUGGCAACUUUUUAUUUUAUUAUUAUAUAAGAGUGAAAAUCAAAUCUCUUCCCUAUCACUAAGUAGUAUACUUCCCAAAAAAAAAAAAAAAAGAAUUUGACUGUCAUUUAAUUACAUUAAAAAAAAUGUCAUAGAAAGUGUUGUGUCACUUUUAAUCAGAGGAUGGGAGUGCAUUACGACUAUUGUAUAUAUGUUAUGUUUUCAUGAUGAUGUUGUUUAAAUAUUUAGUGCUUAUUUGGUAUGACUUAUUUAAUAACUAUAAGUGUUUAUUUAAUCUCAUAAGUUCCUAUCAUAAUUUUUGUUAUUGUUUGGUUGUUUUUCUAAUAGAGUUUUUAAAACUUAAAUAAGUUAUUUUAUCUCUACUAGUAAAAGCUCCAAUUUUGAGCUUUUGAGAGUAGAGGCUGAGAAGUUUUUUUUUUUAAAUGUCAAAAUAUCUAAAAUAUCCUCUACUUAUUUAAUAAUUGUAUUUAUUAUUUUCAUAAUAUAACUUUAAAAAACUUGCCUAUUAUAAUAAUUUCAUAAAUUUUUAAUAAAUAUUUUUAUUGACAACCAAACAACUAAAUAUUUUUUAGUAAAAACUCUAUUUACAAAAGCUCUAUUUAAAUAAGCUCUACUUUAAAAGCUGUACUAAACAGAGCCUUAGACCGAUACCUAAUAAUAACACAGAGCAGCUCGAGCCUAGCUCACCCAACUAAUGAAAAAGAAAAUGAUUUAGCCUCCUGCUAUUAGAUAGGUGUAAUGCAUGCAAGUAAUACACACAUUUAUUCAAAAGAAAAUACAUUUAUUUAUUCAAAAGGAAAUACAUUUGUAUGACAGAUGUAUAAGUAAUGCAGUGCCAAAAGUCUUCACUUAAAAGUUGAAGGCAUAUCAUCAAAACAUGUGACCCCUAGGGAUAGAAACUUGAACAUUCACAAUGAUCAAUGCAACUUGUCCUUCAUUGUUCCAGAAGAUAGCUAGGCACAUUAAUCCUCCAACAUUUCUCAAUGGAUUUCAAAAUCAUCGACAAUAUAUAGCUUUAUGGUUCUCUUUUUUUUAUUCACAAUUUUUUUAUUCUAAUAUUGAAAUUAAUUGGUAACUGCACAGAACUGACAAUUUCUUGGCACUCAUUUUGUAGGGAAUUGAGAUUGUAACUUACAAAUUUAAUAGCAUUUUGAAGCCAAGGAAAUCUAGUCUCAAUUAAUAUGACUCUAGCUUCAGGAGAUUAUGUCUCUAGACAAAUACCGAUGAUCAUGAAGUGACGGAUGAAUUCUAGUGAUAUAUUCCUUAAAUCGCUUAUAUAUUAUGAUUUUUUUCAGAUCUAAUGACCCAGUAAUUAUUUUUGAGCACAUAUAACACCUAGAUCAUUAAUAAUGGUGAUCAGCAUUGUUUUAAGAUUUAGAGCAAAUUAUGUGAUAGCCUAGGGACACUUGGCCGAAUGUUACCUACAGUUAAAACAAGAUGUUUGUUAAAAUAUCUCAAUGAAGAGUAAGAUGGCGGGAAAGCUGUAGUUCAAUAUGCAGAGAUCUUUUGGCAUUUGGAAACAAUAAUCUUGAAGGUUCUAGAUCCUCACAACGAUGAAAAGGCCAGAAAUUGAUCAACAAAAUGAAGGGUGCAUAAUAUGCAGCAAGUGAAGACAACAGUACACAACGGUCUUAUCAUCAUUGUGCAUAUUCAUCAAUUAGUCUCAGUCAUAAAUCAACAAUUGUAACAGUUGUAAGUAUAGUACAGAGACCUUAUGUAAAAAGCAAGUGAACUCAUGAAUAAAGAUGUGCUGGUUACAUCAAAUUAUUCUGUGCAUUGCUUUCGUAUUAUUCUCUGCACAAAAUAGCCAUCAUUUUAUGUAAUUUAAACUUGGUAUCGGAGCUCUCAUUCCAGAAAUGGGCGUGAUUCAAUAUCGUAGUUCAACUGAAGAGGUUGACCUUAGUGAGCAAACACUUGAAACACCAGCAGUAACACAACAGUCAUCAUCCUUAAUUAUUGCGCAAAACUCCUCUCAAAUUUUCCUUUUCAGUUUCCACAGAACUUGACAGAACUAUGUCAUCUAGAGGACCAUGGUCAUGCCUGCCAUACGUCGCAAUGGUCUGGAGCACCUCAUUAGUGACUCACAAGACAUACCAACCAAAUAUAUCAUCAGUACUGAGGAUGACGGCACAACCAAAUCAACACUAAGACCAAAUUUUGUGAUGUGUUGCAAACCGGACCAACUACUCCUUAGUUGGCUUCUUUCUACAAUCACAGAAAGUAUUAUUUGUGCUGUGACUCAUUGCACAGCUUCUCUUGAGUUGUUGACAGUGCUGGAGAAAAUUUACUCUUCACAGUCCAUGGCUAGGUCAAUAGUGCUAAGGAUGCAACUGCAUAGCACUAGAAACGACAAUAUGAUUAUCAGUGAAUACUGCACCUAAGAUGAGAAAUCUGGUAACGGAACUUGUUACUGCUAGAAAGAUUGUCUCAAAUGAAGAUCUCUGCAACCACAUUAUCACAGGACUUGACAGAAGCUAUGAGUCUGUGUUGGGGAGCCGGACUUCAAUGCUUUAAAACAUUCCUUUUUGAAGAACUCUGCUCAAUCCUCUUAAGCCAUGAAGCAAGACUUGAACAGCAAGCACCUGCUGAAGCACAAGCUGCCUAUGAGGCAAAUGUCACCAUGAAACACAAGUGUGGGAUGAAUGAGAACAAGGAAGGUCAUGGGAAAGGAUACAAUCCAAACCAAGGACCUGGAAAGUCUCAUGGAGGCAGAGGAAGCAACAAUAACAGCUUAAGAGGAAGGGGCAGAGGUAGAUAUGGAGGAAAGAAAACAGUCUUUAAGCCUGAUGUCACCUGUCAUAUUUUGCUUCAAAGUUGGUUACACUACAGAUGAGUGUUGGCACAUACGUGAGGAAGACUUUGUGCCCAGAAACAAUGAGCAACAACACCAAAGAGCGGCCUUUGUUGUAGCUAAUGAAGGAGUGCUUGAAACAGGGUGGAACCUAGACAGUCGUACGACAAACUAUGUGACUAAUGACCUCAACAACUUGAGCAUGAGAUCUGAGUAUAAAGGUAAUUCCUUUCUCAUGGUUUGAAAUGGACACAAAUUAAAAAUAUCACACACUGGCACAAUACUAUUUCCUUUAUCUUUUGGUAAAAAAAGAACAUACUUGACUCUUAAGAAUGUUUAAUAAUGUUCUAUAUGUACUUGAUAUAACCAAUAAUCUCCUUAGCAUAUCAAGUUUGAUCUCAGAAAACCAUCUUAAUAUCUUGUUUACUGAAAAACAUUGUUGUUGUAAAGGACAAGCUGGGGAGUGCUCUUCUUCAAAGAACGAAUCAUGGAGGACUGUUUGUGGUCAGUAGAACUGCUGAAAAUAAAGCGGGAAGUGUUGCUGUCAAUUCUCUUUUAAGUUCACAGUCUUUGUUUGCAAUUAUAAUAGAGUCAAAUUCAGUUGAGUUUGAUUCUAAGUCGGCAGAGUUUGAAUGUGUUCAGUCUAUUGAGUCGAAUAAAAAUCGAGUUGGAUAUGUGAAGCAAUUAGACCUUUUAGAUAGAAAGUUUGGUCAUCCAAGUGAUGCUGUCCUCAAAAUAAUAGUGUCAAGCUGUAAUAAUAUCUCAGCCUUAAAUAAAAAAGAAUCAAGUUCCUUUUGUUCAGCCCAUAUAUAUAGAAAGAACCAUAAGCUAAGCUUCAAAAAAAGCUCACGGACUAAAACGCAAGCAACAUUAGAAUUAUUGCACAAUGAUAUCACCUAUUCCAUUAGGAGAAAGGUACAAAUACUGAGCAUAGUAGAUGACCACACUAGGACAUUUCCACUCAUUAACAAAUCUGAAACAACAAAAAUCUUUAUAAAAUUUAAAGAACAAGUGGAAAGAACAUCAGAAAAGAAAACUUAAGUGCUUAAGUGACUGAGAGGUGAAUUUAGGCCAUUAAAGGGUAUGUAGAGAUAUGAGGAAUAGUCUUUAUAUAUUCAUGCCCUUACACUUCAAUGAAGAAUUGAGUGGAACUGUAUAUAUGCCACAACCAGAUGAAUUUGAAAGCAAGGAAAAUUGGAAAAACCAAGCUAUGUCUGUGAUUGGAAAAAGCACUAUAUGGCUUAAAGCAGGCACAAGGAGUCUGGUAUAAGAAGCUGAGAGGAGUUUUGCUGACUUGCGGAUUCAAAAUGCAAUCUCAGACAAAUCGCAGACACAUUAUUAUUUCUCGGGAAGAAUAAGGGAAAGUCAGUAUAUGUACUUAUAUAUGAUGAUGACAUAUUGAUCACAGGAAGUGACCAAAGAACGACUGAAGGCGUUAUCAAACAAUUGAAUGAAAGUUUUGCUUUUAAAUUACCUCGCAUACCCAUCUAUUUUAUGCAAAUUGAAGCAAAAAGAGACUGUGGAGGGAGGCACUCGUGCUAAGAAAAGUAUAUACAGGAUCUACUAAAGAAAACCAAAAUGUUACAGCUAUAAGAAUAGUACGGAGACCUUGUAUGAAAAGCAAGUGAACUCAUGAAUAAAGAUAUGUCGGUUAUAUCAAGUUAUUCUAUGCAUUGCUUUCAAAUUAUUCUCUGCACGAUAGCCAUCAUUUUCAGUAAUUUAAACUCUUACGCUAAUUGGAAAAUGCACUGGCUUGCUUCUGCAGUAAUUUGGUUGUUGGAUUGGACCAUUGAUUUUAAGUGAUGAAGACAAAAUUCAACAAGGAACACAUACGAGCCACAUGGAAAAAUUCAUUUUUAAUCAUUAUUAAUCACAUAAUAUGAUCCAUGUAGCAAAAAUUAAAUUUAUUAUUAAUAUGAGCCAAGGACUAAUUAUUUCAUACAACAAAGACAACAUUAUGGUAUUUGUUAUUUAGCUUUAUUAUAUGUUGUUCCCUUUCUAUAAAUAAGACUUCGAGCCGUAUUGAAUAAAUAAGGUGAAAGUUAAUUAUCUGCAAUCAUGACAUAUUCCCAAGAUUCAAAAAUCAAUUCAAAUGCCACCUAACAAUAUUUAUUAAAAAUUAAAAAAAUAAAUAUAAAUAGAAACAAAUUAAUGAUUUUCGACUACCCCAAAAUCUAACACAUUUUUUAUCCUGCUGAUAUCUAAAAUCUUGAUUCUCUCAAACUAACAAGAGUUAGAAACAAAACCUAGUCAAAGCAGUGGAUUUAAUUAUACAUUUGUAAAAAUUAUGGCAUCAUCCAUUUUGGAUGCCACAUUAUUUUUAUAUCUAUCGCAAUUUGAUGAGGCAAAGGAAAAAUGAUGACUUUUUUCGAUGAGACAAAAGAAAGAUGGCUUGUUUUUUAAUGAAGAACAAAAAAAUGACUUCAUUUUAGUGAGGCAAGAGAAUAUUGAUUGUUUCUUUUAUCUUCUUCACUGCUUGUUUCGGUUGCAAUAUUUCAAAUUAGUGCAUGAUUAAAAUUCUGUUUUUAUAAAAUCACAUCACAGAUGAAGAUAUGUGGAAAGACAAUUAUCGACGAAGAAGACAUACUUAACAUUUCGUGCUAUAAACAUGAUUCUGCAGCAAUAAUAUAGAGCUCACUAACUUGAUACGCAUAAAGUUGGUUUUGAAGCAAAAUGCUAUCACACAGAAUCGUGGUGAAAAUCAUUGACAUGACAAGGUCAUAGUCGUGCUAAAAAUCAUGGUUACAAUUAUGAUUGACGUCAUGAUCUUGAAGAAAUCAUUAUCAACCUUAUAAUGAUAGUAUACAUCUGGAUAUCUUAGAUACAUGAUGCGUAAACAGUUGAUUUAAUUGGUUAUAAAGAUAUCUAUCCCUGUUAAGAUUACUAUUAAAUUUUAUUAGCUUUUAUAUUCCUAUCUAUUUUAUUUUUUAUGACGAUGCCUAACAUAUUUUACUCUUGAAAGGAUAUAGAUACUCAAAGGGGAUUGCAUCAUAAAGAAAUGUGUUUAGCUGGCAGUAUAACUACACUAACUAUCCUUUGAAAUAAUAAAUAUUUUAUGAGUUUGUAAUCAUUUGAAGCUAAGAUAAGUGCCAUCUUAGGUCCUGUUGAGAUCUAGUUGAAGACUCUAGAACAUUCACGUUCAUAUUACCAAGUUAUAACAAAAUUACAUAUCUAUAAUGCUCUGUAUUCACUAACAGUAGAAGAAAUCUUUUGAGUUUCAAAUAUAUUCGCAGUAAUGAAUUUCAUAUAGAGAAAAUAAAUGAGAAUAAUACAGAAUGUCUCUAUAUUACUUCUAGUGUCUUAGGUAAAAAUGUAUAUUGGAAAAGCUUUCUACUUUUUGAUCUGACUUAUAUUCAUACAACGAUAAAACUAGUUGGGAGCUACACAAUCAUGAACCAAAGACUUUGUGAUUCAAAAGUUUUUAUAUCUCAGUCACCUAGGUCAACUAUGAUGAGUAGAAUUAUCGAGAAUUCUUAUGGACAUCAUUUAAAGAAUCUAAAGAUUAUUCUCUCCAAUGAGUAUAGUUGCACUACUUGUUCCUAGGGUAAAUUAAUUAGCACUUAGACCAUCACAUUCGAAGAUUGGUCUUGAAUCUCUAUUGUUCCUACAAAUAAUUCAGGCAUAUAUAUGUGGACUUAUUAGCCCAUCUAGUGGUCUAUUUCAUUAUUUUAUGGUCUUGAUUGAUGCAUUUGACAGUAGUCAUAUGUUUAUUUAUUAUCUAUAUACAACAUUGUAUUUACUAGAUUGCUUGCACAAGUUAUUAAGUUACCUGCACAAUUUUAAGAUUAUCUAGACAAUGCUAGUAAGUUUACGUCUAAAGUUAUUGGUGAUACUACAGUUCUUUGGGAUUGAUAUAGAGCACCCAAUAUCACAUAUUCAUACUUAGAAGGGAUUGGUAGAAUCCUUCAUCAAACUGCUUUAGCUGAUUAUAGGAACUUUAUUGUUUCAUACUCAAUUACCUAUUUUUGCAUAUGGACAUACUAUUUUGCAUGCUAUGGUACUAAUACCUAGAGGCAUACUGCCUAUCACCAAUAUUCCUCAUUGCAAUUAGUACAUGGCAUCAACCUAAUAUAUCUCAUUUGUGCACUUUUGGCUAUAUUGUGCAAGUUCUUGCGACACCCCCCUAGUGUACUGAAAUAAGACUUCAACGAUAUUUUGAAUUUUAUGUGCAUUUUGACUAUCUAUUAUCAAAUGUCUUGAACCUAUUACCAAUAAUUUUUUUACCGCAUGCUUUUAUGAAUUUCCAUUUUAAUGAGAUAAAAUUUCCUUUGUUGGAGAAAAAAAAAAAAGCCACCAUAUGCUGGGAAUGAGCUUUUAUAAUAAGUGACAAAAUUGUCUCCUCUAGAUUACCACACCACUCAAAGUGAAAAUGAAAUGUGGUGAAUAAUUCUCUUACAAAAAAUUAUAAAUCGCUUGUUAGUUGUAUUUACAAAUGUAUCGAAAGUAAUCAAGUCAUAUGUACUGGUUGCAAAUGUACUUGGCCAAUUAGUUGCUCCUAAUUUUAAUAAAUAAAAAAAACUAUUUGAAUCGUCUAUGGCACGCCUUAAGUAUUGUAGACCCAUUGGCUCAAAGGACAACAUUCUGCUGAAAAGAAAAAUAAAAAGUUAGGAUCUGUUAUCAUGAAUGAUCAGGCUCUAAGUGAAAGUGGUCCUUCAAAGCAAAAGGUCCUUGAUGAGAACUAUGUGCCUACAGUAACACUACCUCCUAAAGAGACAAUUACCUUAAAUAUGGCCAAGCACUUGAUGUGGCUUAGUGAUGGUUGUCGAAGCCAACAAAAAUAAAUUCUUACUCUAAAUAAAUUAUGUAUAGUGAUUGAGCAGGGUCGUGUCCAUAGAGAUCGGUAAUUAUUUAAAUCAUUUUGAAACGUAAAACAUAAAAUGGGGGUUUUGUUGACAAUAAUAAAAAUCAAAUUAAAAUAACAAGAAUGCAAAUUAAAGUUGUAAUUCAAAUUGGAGAAAGCUCUGGUUGAAAGAAUUAACUCAGCUUGAUUCGACUACUGAUCAUUGAUUCAAAUAUAGAUUAUUAUUACUUAUGAAUAGACCGGUUAUAGCAAUUGAGACCCUCUAAUAGCCAAUCUCUCCUUAACUAGUCGAUAACCAAGGUACGACCGUUGGAUAUUUCCCUAAUCAAUAGACAACCCUAGAUACGAUCAUAGGAUUUAAUCAAUUGACAGCCUGAAAAACCAGAGAGACCCAAAUCCUAAUCAACACAUAUGAUGAUUCAUUUAAAUUAGAUUGUUUAUUCUCACAACACAACUCUCUGCUAUUUAUUUGUCACAAACAUUAAAUUCUUCAUACGAUGAAUCCUUUAAUUAACAAUAGAUUAAGUUGAUAAUUAAAUAGUGGCCAAUUAUCUAAUUAACAAACAUAAUCAUGAAAAUAAUUCAGAGAAUAAACAAAUACCCAAAAAGUAAUAAAACAAUUAAAGCACAAGAAAGAUCUCACAGUAGUGAUGAAUCAAAGCUUCAUUAUCCUUCAACCAGAAAAAUAGGUUUAGUUCUUCAUAGAGAGAAGAGAAAAAUUAAGAUCUAGGGUUUCUUUCUUUUUUUCCAAUCCAAAUCCUUCACAAUAGAUUCCUCCCUUAAAUACUCUCUCUCUCUUCUCUUUUAGAAUUCUAUUUAAAAUAAAAUACUAAUAUCUGAAAUAUUAAAUUCGUAAUUACAAAAAUAACCAAAAAUACAAAACACGUUAAACUAAAAACUACAGGUCCGCAGUUGACAGCACGCGCCCACGCCUUAUCAACAAAGUUCUUCUGACGCUCAUAAUUUCUCCAAGAGAACAAUCAUCCUUAAACAUCAUCUUAUAGCUCAAUUUUAUCACCAAUCAAUAGAAUUGCACCUACAAAAGUAAAACACAAGUAAAUCACUAUUAUUAAGUGCAAAACAUCGAUAUUAAGAGAAGUAAACAAUGCAAAACUAGUGCAUAAAUUUCACUCUAACACUUAGAAUGAAGAAAAUACACAAAUUUUGCUCACAAAAAAAGGUGUGGAAUCUUAAAGAAACAAUCAUCGAUGAUAAUUUGCGUUUAUAGUAGCCACUGGUUUAAUAAAUGAUGAUAUUGAACUGUAAUCCAUUGAUAUGUAGAUUGAGACAUGAUUGGCCUGCAUAGGAAGAAGCAAUCCAUAUGAAGUUGGCUUCUUUGGCAAAAUGAUUAUUUUUUAAUGUAACCUAAAUACCUACUUGUAUUAAAUCUGUUGGAUAUAAAUAGAUAUUUUUUAAGAAAUGUAACUAAAAGAAUAAGGUCGUUAUAUAUAAAGCACGACUCAUUGCACAAGGUUUUUUUAUAGAGACUAGGUAUUGACUAUGGGAUACCUAUUUAUUGGUAGUGCAUAUAGUUACAUUCCAAUUCUUCUAUUUGAGAGGCUUGAUACGCAUUUAAUAGAUAAGUGAUAGGUUUUUGUGUGUAUGAAAACUCCUAAAGGAUUCAAAAUGCUUAAAGCAUUGUAGUCACCACAUUGUAGCUUGUAUUCUACAAAGCUAUAGAAAUCUUUAUAUGAAUUGAAACAAUCUUGACAUAUCUGAUAAAGUUUCCUUAGUGACUACAUGAUCAAGGAAAGAUACAUGAAUGAUCUUAUUUGUCUUCGUGUAUCUAUAAACAAGCUAAAAUCUAGAUUUGCUAUUGCAGUAGUCUAUGUUGAUAAUAUGAAUUUGAUUGGAACUCUCAAAGAUGUCCAAAAGCCUACUGAUUAUUUAAAAAAGAGAGUUUAAAAUGAAAAAUUUUGGGAAAACUAGAUACUAUGUAAAGUUAUAGAUCGAGCACAAAUCUAAAAAUAUCUUUAUUUUUUAGUCAAAUUAUUAUGAAAAGAUAUUAAAAUGUUUUAAUAUGGACAAAACUUCUCUAUCAAUUACCCCAAUGGUAGUUUCAUCUCUUGAUCUUAAAAAGAUUCAUUUAAUCCUAAAGAGGAUGAUGACCAAGUGCUUGCUUCAUCAAAUACCAUAAGUUGAAUGCCCGUUGGUGCUUUAAUGUAUUUAGCCCAAUGUACUAUAGCUGUGUUCAAUAACUUGUUAGCAAGGUUUAAAUCUUGAAUUGAGCUAGACGACAUUGGAAUGGUGUUAAACAUCUUUUUCAUGAUCCUCUUGGAAUUAUCAAUUUCAGUUUAUUUUAUUCUAGUAAAUUAACCAAAAAUCUAAGUCUUAUUAGUUUUGCAGAUAUCCUCAUAAAGCUUGUUCUUAGAGGGGUUAUGUUUUUACUUAUACUAAAUAUUGAUUUCUUAAAAAUAUGUGAAGUUGACUCUUGUACUUGCAUUUUCCAAUCGCUUUGAGAUCCUUGUAUUGCAUGAAGCAAGUAGAGAAUACUUAUGGUUGCGGUCCAUUAUGCAUCAUAUCCAGGAUGCUGAUAAAUUAUCUUCAAGUGCAGACAUCCAAACGGUAAUAUAUGAAAAUAAUGUUUCUUGUAUAGCUCAAUUCAAGAGAGCAUAUAUCAAAGGAGAUUGAAAAAGCUUACCUCACCAAAGUUCUUCAAUACUCAUGAGCUCCAACAAAAUAAGACGAUCGAUAUCAAGCAGAUACAUUACACAAAUAAUUUUACAUAUAUGUUUAUUGAAGCUCUAUGCAUAUCAACAUUUUAGAAAAUAGUAUAUGGCAUCAGAAUGUGCCAUUUAAACAGAAUAUCGAGACGAUCAUUAGUUGAAUGCUCAUCAGGAGAAGAAAAAAUUUACCAAAGAAGAAUUUCAAUAAUUAAAUUGGAUACAUCUGCACGAUACUCGUUUUUUUCCCUUUGAAUAGAUUUUUCUACAAGAUUUUAGUGGCAAAGGUUUUUAAUUAGAUAAUUUAAACCACAUGCAGCCCACUUUAUCGUUCGCUAAAUUAUAUUUCUUUUGGUUGAGCUUUUUUUCUAUUGAGUUUUUCCAUAACAAAAGUCAAAUACAAUUAUCGUGAAGUGGUGGAUACCAAAGUGGGGGUGUUAUGGAAAUUAGUGAUUUAAAAAACAACUCAAGAGAUUUGACGGCUAAAGAGCUAAACAAGUCAAUCAAUUGUGGGUAUUAAGGUCACGAUGUGUCCUAAGGCUUGGCUGUGUUUUAAUUAGCUGAUGGAUUCCCUGAAUAGAGAGCACUACUCAUUGUAAUUUGUAUCCGAAGGCUUGGCUGUGUUUUAAUCGGUUGAUGGAUCCUAUAAAUAGGGAGCACUGCUCUUUGUAAUUUGUAUCUGAAAUUGAAAGCCUUAUCAAUUACAAUAAUAUCAUCUUUCUUUAUAUCAUCUAUUUAUCUAUUUAUACGUCUUACCUAUAUUCUCAAUAAUUAUAUUAUAAUUGAUAUUUUUAUUGUUUAUUGUGCACUGAAUAAUUCUUUUUUUAACCUUUGCUUACUAAUAGAAUUCUUCUUUUUUUUUUAAUAUUCUCUUUAGCGUAUGAAAUUGAUACAAUUUAUUUUUUUCGAUUUUAGUACUUUUUUCGUUCAACUACUUAGGAAUUGUUUGGUAAUGAGAUGAUGUGGUUUUUAAUAUACAGUUGUUGGGAUAAAAGCUAAAUUUGUCAAAGAAAAGCUUAUAGAUUAUGGUAAAUAAUAAAUUUUGUAUUAAUUUUUAUAUUUAACAAUUAUUACAAAAAUUAUGAAAUAAGAAAAAAACCACCAGCUAGGCAGUGGAGCCACAACGUAGUGUGUUUUACCAAACACCCAAACAGAUCCCUAACUAGGGUGUUUAAAUGUCUACAAUUAAGAUUAGUUUAGAAAAUAAGGUCCUAUUUAGUAUUGAGGGGCUAUCUACAGCUAAUGUCGAACAAAAUUGUAACUAUGAAAUAAAAGUUAACAAUAUAUAGUAAAUAUAAUUUUUAAACAAUAAUUUUGAUAAAAUUAAUAAAGGCAUAAUAUUUUUUUUUCAUCUUAUAUGUAUAAAAUCAAAUAAACUUAACUUCUAAACUACAACAACUAAUAUUUACCAAACACUUUAAUGUUGUAUCUUAAAAUCUAUAACUAUCCAACCUCAAUUUUAAAUAGGGCCCAAGUAUGGGUAAUGCGUGGGAUUUAGCAUCUCACAACUUACCUAGCGUGUUAUUAGUGAAAUUACAUUUACAAUAUUUUUAGCCCACUUACGUAGAUGGAUCAACUGGCUGUUAACAUGUUCUCCACCAUGGUCACCAGAGUUCAAGAAAAGGAUUUAUACUGUUUAGUAGGUGAAGUUUCACAUUUCCAUCCAAAUAUUUUAUUAAAAAAUAAAUCAAGAGUAUUCAUUGUGAAAAAGAAGUUUUUGUCCAAACAUUAAAAGGAUCUUCCAAAUUAAUGUAAAACAUAGAGCACAAACGAGUUAAUACUCAUUUAUAUAUCAAGUUAAACGGGUUAAUUUUGUGUUAAUUGUGUUAUAGAUAGGCAAGAGUAAGAGACACAAACAAGAUCAAAAGGAUUAUCUUAGAUGGAAAAUUCUAUAAUACCAUAACAAAAAUUACGGUAUUAAUGCCGUAGUUAUUUUAUACUGUUGGAUGAGAUCAACGAUGUACAAUAAUUAAAAUAUAAUAAAAAAUGUAAAUUUUUUUUCUUUAACCGGUUUACAACUGGUUAUUUAUUUAUAAAAAAAUAAAUUUAACUGGCUAAAACAGUGGGGAAAAAGAAGCGGUUUUUGUUUGCCUCCAAUACUCUUUUCCUGCUGAUAAUUUAGCAAAAACAGAGGCAAAAAAAAGCAAAAAAGAAGAAGCCCUACAACGACGUCGUUGAGGAGAAUCGAGCUGAGUCCUUGAUCGUGAAGCGGUUUUCAGUCGACGAUAACGACCCGAAGUCGGCGAUUGAUACCGUAAUCGGCGCCAGCGAUUAAUAACCAUAUAAUCCUCUGCUGCCCUUAAUCUUGUUGAGGGGAAGAGAACCACGGCAAAUUACUAAUAAAAAUAAGGCAAGUUGCAGGCCACUGAUUCUCCUCUACCACAUUCGCAUUGUCGUUAAUUUCAACAUGUGUUUUUUUUUUUUACAAUUUAUUUGACCAAGACACACAAAUAUAUAUAGAGAGAGAGAGCAUGCACUAGACUUUGAUAUGAUUUUUUCUUGUUAUUACAAGUAUUACUUGAAUACAAGUAAUAUGUCCUGUUCUGAAAACACAUAUUGUCGAAUUAUGUAAUGUUCAUUUGGUUCGUAUCUUAUAAUUUCUCUAGUUUAUUCAAUCUGAUUUGCUGACACUUAUGCCCAAUAGCCCUAGUUUCCUUUUUUACAAAUCCACUUAGAAAAAUUUCUUUGUUAGUGGUUCUAUUUUUAUUUAUUUAUUUUUGAGUGAUUUGCCAAUGUGUUAAAAUUGUGCUUGGAUCCUACAUAUUGGUAGUUAACGUUGAUGCUUUGAUGGAAUUUCUAAUAGAGUGAGUAAAUUUUGUUGAAAUUUCUAAGUAGAGUCUUCAAGUUAUUUGUUGAAAUGCCUGAGAGAAACAAUGUGUUUGUAUAUGUUCUAUUAUUCAAAUAUGAGGUAUGAAAAUGAAAAUAAAAAUUUUGCGUUUGGGUUAAUUUUCUAUUGUAUUUGGAAUGAUUUGCUGUUGUUUUUUAGUAAAAUUUUUCUAGUGUUUUGGGUUUCAUUUGCUGCAGUUUUUAGGUUAAAUUUUCUACUAUUUCUGGGCCAAUUGGCUGUUGUUUUUCAGUUUAAUUUUCUACUAUUUUUAGAUAAAUUUACUGCUGUUUUUGCGUUAUAUUUUCUGCUGUUUUCAAGUAAAUUUUUCGGUGUUUCGAGCUUCAUUUGCUGUUGCUUUAGGUUAAAUUUUCUACUGUUCCUGGGUCAAUUGGCUGCUGUUUUCAGUUUAAUUUUUUGCUGUUUUUAGAUAAAUUUACUACUAUUUUUGGGUUAUAUUUUCUGUUGUUUCUUGGUAAAUUUUUUCUAGUGUUUUGGGCUUCAUUUGCUACUGCUUUUAGAUUAAAUUUUUUGUUGUUUCUGGGUCAAUUGGCUGCUUUUUUCAGUUUAAUUUUUUACUCUUUUUAGAUAAAUUUACUACUAUUUUUGGGUUAUAUUUUCUGUUGUUUUUAGAUAAAUUUACUAUUGUUUUUGGGCUUCAUUUGUUGCUGCUUUUGGGUUAAAUUUUUUGCUAUUUCUGAGUCAAUUGGCUGUUGUUUUUUAGUUUAAUUUUUUACUCUUUUUAGAUAAAUUUACUACUGUUUUUGGGUUAUAUUUUCUGUUGUUAUUAGAUAAAUUUUUUGCUGUUUUUGGGUUUAAUUUGUUGUUACUUUUGGGUUAAAUUUUUUGCUAUUUCUGAGUAAAUUUGCUAUUGUUUUUCAGUUAAAUUUUCUGUUGUUUUUGGAUAAAUUUACUGCUGUUUCCAGAUAAUUUUUUUGCUGUUUUGGGCUUCAUUUACUGUUGUUUUUAGGUUAAAUUUGUUGCUGCUUCUGGGGUAAAUUUGCUGCUGUUUUUCAAUUAAAUUUUUUGUUGUUUUUAGAUUAAAUUUUUUUCGUAUAUUGGGCUUCAUUUGCUGCUAUUUUGUGUUAAAUUUUUUUUUGUUCUAGGUAAAUUUAUUACUUUUUUUAGUUAAAUUUUUUGUUGUUUUUGGAUAAAUUUACUACUAUUUUUUGGGUUAGAUUUUUUGCUGUUUUCUGGUAAAUUUGCUGUUGUUUUGUGCACAGAGCUGGUCGAAAAAUGGUCAUGAUGCAUUUUGAAUGCAGAAUGAUGGAGACUGGUAGUAAAAGUUGCUUGUGUUGUUUUUGCUGCUACUUGCUCCAUUUGAGCUUCUAGAAAUUGUUAAGGGUAGCGGGGAAGAAGAAAGAGAUGAUGAGAAAUGCAAAUUGUUUGUGAGCUUUAGAUUGAUGUACCAAGCCAAUAGUUAUAUUGCAAAAUAUCUGUUUUUUUUUUAGUUUGUUAAUUUUUAUUUUUUUGGAUUAUAACUAAUGCUGUAAAUAGUUAUUGUUUGUCACCGUUCUAGAAGCAAAUACUAGUCUAACUUUCUAGGAAAGGUGUUCCUAAUUCUUGGUUGGGUGAUUGAAUUUUGUAUUGAAAUGUUUAUUUCUAAAAUAUUUUUAGAGGAUCCAAAACUUGUGAUAUUUGACAUUUCUUUUUGUGCUUAAUAUCUUCAUGUACAGGUUCUUGUAAACUUGAAAAUGGCAGAAAAUGUAAAAUGAGAAUGAUUUCAAGGAGAAUGAUAAUGUGAACCAAGAAAAUGAAAUUUUAAGAAAAAAUCGGCCUUUCAUUGAGCAUAUUUGCACCUCGGAUUAUGAUGAAUGGUUGCACGGCCUACGUGCUAGCAGAUUUAGAUGCGGAUUUGGCGAAUAUUGGCUUUGCAUGUUUGGAGAAUUGAGAGAGAGAGAUUCAUAUUUGGGGAAUGACGAAUAGGGACUAUGUUUUAAUUUUUCACUUUGUCGUUCUUGUCUUCUAUGGUGCCAUUGAGACUUGAGAGCUGAGCCUUUUUUUUACCGCUUUCACUUAAAAAGGAAAAUGAAUAUUAUAAGGAAACGACGUAGUUUUAGUGAAUUUUAAAUGUUAUAAUUUUUUGUUGUUGUUUAUAUCUUAAUUAUAUAACAUUAUUUUUUAAAAUAAGUUAAAGAUAAAAUUUAUAACAUUUAUAUAUAUACCUAAAAUAUAUAUAGAACCACUUAUGUUAUGAUUUGUUUUUGGGUUCAGAUUUAUCAUUUUUAGUUAAAUUUUAAAUUUAUGAUUUUAUACCUAAUUUUUCAUUCGGGAAAGGGACAUGGUCGAUUUUUAUAAACUAAUUUAAAGAAAAAUGAUAGGUUUAUGAUUUUAUUAAUAUAUUAUAAUUAAUAAUAAUAAUAAUUUUUUAAUAAAUAAUCACUAUAAUUAAAAUAUAAAAUAAUAAUUAUGAUAAUAAUUCAUUAAGUACAUAUAUUACAUGCAAGGAAGACUAGGCUCGACUUUUAGUCUAAUUAACUUGACCUGAAUUUUUUGGCCUUUGACUCGAAUUUAAUGGUUAGGCUUGGGUCUAAAUAUUAGAGCCCAAUUAAAUUCAUAUCAGGGUUAGGGACCUAUAUGCCCGACCCGACCUGAUCUGACCUAACCAUAAAACCUAAAAAAAAUGUAAUAAUAUGAUUACGGCCCUGAAUAAUCUUUAUUUUUAUGUUACUUCAAACAAUUUCUAAAGCUUUUAUAUUUUACUGUAUAUGGGGAGGCUAUGUCCAAUUUUUAAAUUUUAAAUUAACUAAAAAUUAAAAAAAAAACUUUAAAAGAAAGUUUGAUCAGGCCCACGCUUUCAAAUAAUAGGGCCUUUUUGGGCUCGAAAAUUUUAUUUCAGCUAUAGAGUCAGGCUCAGAAAUGGCUAAGCACAGGCCUAACUCGACCCACUGCCAUCCUUUCGAAUAGACUAUUGAUCCAUUAUGAACUCAUCAAUUAAAUUCAUGAUCAUAGUAAAUGUGUUACUAUCAUUCUUUUGUUUGCAAGAACAACUUGUAAACAAAAUAAAAAUUUAGUAAAAUGACACAGAAUUUGUAAAUUGACAUUAAGUGUAAAAUAAAAUAAAAAAUUUGUAAAGCACACAUAAAACUAGUAAAUUGAUGGAAAAUUGGGUAAAUUAAUGUUCGAAUUGUAAAUUGCAAGAAAAACUUGUAAAUAAAAUAAAAAUUUAGAAAAAUGACAUAAAACUUGUAAAUUAACAUUAAAUAUAAAAUGAAACAAUAAAUUUGUAAACCACACAUAAAACAAGUAAAUUUAAGGAAAAAUGGGUAAAUUAAUGUUGAAGUUGUAAUUUGCAAGAAGAACUUGUAAGCAAAAUAAAAAUUUAGAAAAAUAACAUAAAACUUGUAAAUUGAUAUUAUGUGUGAAAUAAAACAAAAAAUUUGUAAACCACACAUAAAACUAGUAAAUUGAUGAGAAAAUGGGUAAGUUAAUAUUUGAGUUGUAAAUUGCAAGAAGAACUUAUAAACAAAACAAAACCUUAGAAAAAUGACAUAGAACUUGUAAAUUGACAUUACGUGUGAAAUGAAACAAAAAAUUUAUAAAUCACGCCUAAAACUAGUAAAUUGAUGGAAAAAGAGGUAAAUUAAUAAUGGUGUUGUAAAUUGCAGGAAAAACUUGUAAACAAAACAAAAACUUAGAAAAAUGAUAUAAAACUUAUAAAUUGACAUUAAGUGUGAAAUGAAACAAAAUAUUUGUAAAUCACAUAUCAAAAUAUUUGUAAAUCACAUAUCAAAAUAUUUGUAAAUCACAUAUAAAACUAGUAAAUUGAUGGAAAAAAAGUUAAAUUAAUGAUGGAGUUGUAAAUUAGAAGAAAAAAGUGUAAACAAAACAAAAAUUUAGAAAAAUGGCAUAAAACUUGUAAAUUGUCAUUAAGUGUGAAAUGAAACAAAAAACUUGUAAACCACAAAUAAAACUAGUAAAUUGAUGGAAAAAUAGGAAAAUUAAUGUUGGAGUUGUAAAUUGUAAGAAGUUGUAAACAAAACAAAACCUUAGAAAAAUGACAUACAACUUGAAAAUUGACAUUAAGUGUGAAAUGAAACAAAACAUUUGUAAAUGACAUAUCAAAAUAUUUGUAAAUCACACUUAAAAUUAGUAAAUUGAUGGAAAAAGAGGUAAAUUAAUGAUGAAGUUGUAAAUUAGAAGAAAAAAGUAUAAACAAAACAAAAACUUAGAAAAAUGAUAUAAAACUUCUAAAUUGACAUUAAGUGUGAAAUGAAACAAAAAAUUUACAAAUCACACCUAAAACUAGUAAAUUGAUGGAAAAAGAGAUAAAUUAAUGAUGGAGUUAUAAAUUGCAAGAACAACUUGUAAACAAAACAAAAACUUAGAAAAGUGACAUGGAACUUGUAAAUUGACAUUAAGUGUGAAAUAAAACAAAAAAAUUUGUAAAUCACAUUUAAAUUUAGUAAAUUGAUGAAAAAGAGGUAAAUUAAUGAUGAAGUUGUAAAUUAGAAGAAAAAAGUAUAAACAAAACAAAAACUUAGAAAAAUGAUAUAAAACUUGUAAUUGACAUUAAGUGUGAAAUGAAACAAAAAAUUUGUAAACUACAUAUAAAACUAGUAAAUUGAUGGAAAAAUAGGUAAAUUAAUGUUGGAGUUGUAAAUUGGAAGAAGAACUUAUAAACCAAACAAAACCUAAAAAAAUGACAGAACUUGUAAAUUUACAUUAAGUGUGAAAUGAAACAAAAAAUUUGUAAACCACACAUAAAACUAGUAAAUUGAUGGGAAAAAAGGUAAAUUAAUUUUGGAGUUGUAAAUUACAAGAAGAACUUGUAAACAACACAAAAACUUUGAAAAAUGACAUAGAACUUGUACAUUGACAUUAAGUGUGAAAUGAACCAAAAAAAUGUGUAAAUCACACAUAACACUAGUAAAUUGAUGGGAAAAGGAGUAAAUUAAUGUUGGAAUUGUAAAUUGCAAGACAAACUUGUAAACAAAACAAAAAUUUAGAAAAAUGGUAUAAAACUUAUAACUUGACAUUAAGUGUAAAAUGAAAUAACAAAUUUGUAAACCACAUAUAAAACUAGUAAAUUUAUGGAAAAUGGGGUAAAUUUAUGUUGGAGUUGUUAUUUGCAAGAACAACUUGUAAACAAAACAAAAACUUAGAAAAAUAACAUAAAACUUGUAAAUUGACAUUAUGUGUGAAAUAAAAUAAAAAAUUUGUAAACCACACAUAAAACUAGUAAAUUGAUGGAAAAAUUGGUAAGUUAAUAUUUGAGUUGUAAAUUGCAAGAAGAACUUGUAAAUAAAACAAAACCUUCGAAAAAUGAAAUAGAACUUGUAAAUUGACAUUAAGUAUGAAAUGAAACAAAAAAAAUUGUAAAUCAUGCAUAAAACUAGUAAAUUGAUGAAAAAAAAGGUAAAUUAAUGAUGGAGUUGUAAAUUAGAAGAAAAAAGUGUAAACAAAACAAAAAUUUUUAAAUAUGACAUAAAACUUGUAAAUUGACAUUAAGUGUGAAAUGACACAAAAUAUUUGUAAACCACACCUAAAACUAGUAAAUUGAUGGAAAAAAUGAGUAAAUUAAUGUUGGAGUUAUAUUUUGCAAGAAGAACUUGUAAACAAAACUAAAACUUAGAAAAAUCACAUAAAACUUGUAAAUUGAUAUUAUGUGUGAAAUAAAAAAAAUAUUUGUAAACCACACAUAAAACUAGUAAAUUGAUGAGAAAUGGGUAAGUUAAUAUUUGAGUCGUAAAUUGCAAGAAGAACUUGUAAACAAAACAAAAGCCUUAGAAAAAAAUGACAUAGAACUUGUAAAUUGACAUUUAGUAUGAAAUGAAACAAAAAAAUUUUUAAAUCACACUUAAAACUAGUAAAUUGAUUAAAAAAGAGGUAAAUUAAUUGUUGAGCUGUAGAUUGUAAGAACAACUUGUAAACAAAACAAAAACUUAGAAAAAUGACAUGGAACUUGUAAAUUGACAUUAAGUGUGAAAUAAAACAAAAAAUUUGUAAACCACAAAUAAAACUAGUAAAUUGAUAGAAAAAUGGGUAAGUUAAUAAUUGAGUUGUAAAUUGCAAGAAGAACUUGUAAACAAAACAAAACUUUCGAAAAAUAAAAUAGAACUUGUAAAUUGACAUUAAGUAUGAAAUGAAACAAAAAAUUUGUAAAUUAACAUUAAGUAUGAAAUGAAACAAAAAAUUUGUAAAUCACAUCUAAAACUAGUAAAUUGAUAGAAAAAGAGGUAAAUUAAUAAUGGAGUUGUAAAUUGCAAGAAGAACUUGUAAAAAAACAAAAACUUAGAAAAAUAACAUAAAACUUGUAAACUGGCAUUAUGUGUGAAAUGAAACAAAAUAUUUACAAAUCACACAUAAAACUAGUAAAUUUAUGGAAAAAGAGGUAAAUUGAAAUUGUAAAUUAGAAGAAAAAGGUGUAAACAAAACAAAAAUUUUUAAAAAUGACAUAAAACUUGUAAAUUGAGAUUAAGUGUGAAAUGAAACAAAAUAUUUGUAGACUACACCUAAAACUAGUAAAUUGAUGAAAAAAUGGGUAAAUUAAUGUUGGAGUUGUAAUUUGCAAGAAGAACUUGUAAACAAAACAAAAACUUAGAAAAAUAACAUAAAACUUGUAAAUUGACAUUAUGUGUGAAAUAAAAUAAAAAAUUUGUAAACCACACAUAAAACUAGUAAAUUGAUGGAAAAAUGGGUAAGUUAAUAUUUGAGUUGUAAAUUGAAAGAAGAACUUGUAAACAAACCAAAACCUUAGAAAAAUGACAUAGAACUUGUAAAUUGACAUUAAGUGUGAAAUGAAACAAAAAAUUUGUAAGUCACACAUAAAACUAAUAAAUUGAUGGAAAAAUAGAUAAAUUAAUGUUAGAGUUGUAAAAUACAAGAGGAACUUGUAAACAAAAUAAAAAUUUAGAAAAAUGAUAUAGAACUUGUACUUUGACAUUAAGUGUGAAAUGAACUAAAAAAUAUGUAAAUCAUGAUUAAAACUAAUAAAUUGAUGGAAAUGAUCCCUGGGUUAGCUCAUUUAAUUGACUGCACCACUACUGGAUUAAUAAGCUAGACAACUAGCUAUUUGGGUCAAAAACCUAAAUAUAUCAUUUAGUGGGAGGCUCCAUUUAAUUAGCUUAUGUGUAAAGGGCCUUAUGUUAUUUUACAAGGUGGGUCCCCUAUAGAAAAAGCAAGUAACGUGAGUUUUGAUUUUCAUUAUUUGGAGUCUAGGGUUUUCACUAAAGGGAGAUAUAAAAAAGCUUAUUUUCUCUAAAGAAAAAAGAGCAGCUCCUUUAUACAAAGAAGAGAAAAAGAUUUUUCUCUUAGUUAUUGAGAGAAAAAUUUUCUCGUGCUAGUUGCUUUGAUAGUGAUAAAGGCGUCCACACGUCAAGUGCAGAUCGACCCUGAGUCAUAACCUGGAAGAUCAUUGUGACAGUUCGUGAUCUAACAAGCGUAGUGGUGACGGAUCGUGAUCUAACAGGAGUGGUGGUGACAGAUCGUGAUCUGGGAGCCUAAAUCACUUCAAUAGAAAAAAGCCAAAUCGAAUUUUCAAGGUAUGAUUUCUAGAUUACAAAUUCUUAUAUAUGGUAGGAGAGCUAUCUUAAAAGGUUUUAUAAAAAUUUAAAAAUUAUAUUUUUCUCCAACAAUUGGUAUCAGAGCCAUCUCAUAUUAAUAUAUAAGAAUAUUGUAUGAAAUCAAUCUUGAAAUUUAUAUAUUAGAGUGGCACAAUUUAUUCAAAUAUAUAUUAUUAUUUUAAUAUAUGAAUAAAGCAUGUUUUUAGUUUGUCUUAAUUCAUGGUUAGAUUUUACGCUGUAUUUUUUCUUCGGAUCUGUAACAAGAGGGGUGACUUUUCAUCACAAUGUUUCCCUCUUGAUUUAUUUUACUGUUAUAGAAUUUUUGUAAGCCAAAAUUGGCCUAGGAAAUUUGUAAAUCAAUCAUGGAUGUCAGAUCAUCGGAAACGAAGGCCGGAUAUUUUGACAGCAGCAACAAACCAGCACGUGCGGCCAGCAAUGGCCAGCGGCACGCACUGCACGUGCUGCAGCUGCAAGCAAUGCUGCCAGCAGCGUGCAGCUCCUGGGUUCCGUCAUUUGGUGGCUUUCCGGCGUAGUGGCAAUGGUUAAAUCAGCGUCGAACUUGGAUGAACAGUGACUGGCUUUGUGGUGAUGGCGGAUGGGGAGAGUAAAAGAUGGAUUCAGGGUUUCAAUGGUUUUUAUCAUUCAGAUCCCUAUGGCUCCAUAUUUUUUUUCUUUUUGGGUAGACACGUUUAAAUUUUUGCAGUUAAGUCCAAAAACAGUAUUGGGCUUAAUGAAUCAUAGUUUAUGCUCAAUUUCAAUUGGGCUUAAUGGAUUAAAAUGCAUAGAUAAAAUUGAACACAUUAAGACGGAAGGGUGGAAACAUUUAAAGCAAGAUUAGUAGCCAAAGGGUUUACUCAGAAAGAGGGAAUCGAUUAUGAGGAAACUUUUUCUCCGGUUGCUAUGCUUAAAUCCAUCAGGAUUCUGCUCUCCAUUACUGCAGUGCUAGAUUAUGAAAUUUGGCAAAUGGAUGUCAAGACUGCCUUUCUUAACGGGUAUCUUGAAGAAAACAUCUACAUGCAGCAACCAGAUGGAUUUAUACAAAAAGGCCAUAAACACAUGGUAUGUAAGUUGCAGAGAUCCAUUUAUGGAUUGAAGCAAGCAUCCCGGUCAUGGAACAUCAGAUUCGAUCAAGUGAUUAAAUCGUUUGGAUUCAUUCAGAACAUUGAUGAACCAUGUGUGUACAAGAAAAUUCAAGAAAAAUCUGUAGCCUUCCUAAUUCUUUAUGUAGAUGAUAUUCUCCUAAUUGGAAACGAUAUAGGAGUAUUGACUACAAUAAAGAGUUGGUUAGCAAAACAAUUUGAUAUGAAAGACCUGGGAGAGGCAAGUUAUAUUCUUGGUAUCAAGUUACUACGAGACCGAAAGAAUAAAACUUUAGCCUUGUCUCAAGCGGUCUACAUCGAUAAGAUAUUGGCUAGAUUUAGCAUGGAAAAUUCCAAGACUGGUUUAUUACCAUUCAGACAUGGAAUUACAUUCUCUAAUGAUCAAUCACCUAAAACAUCUGAAGAGAUAGAGAGAAUGAGACGAGUUCCCUAUGCAGAAGCUGUGGGAAGUCUCAUGUAUGCCAUGCUUUGCACUAGGCCAGACAUCUGUUUUGCGGUAGGGAUGGUUAGUAGAUAUCAAUCUAAUCCUGGACCUGAACACUGGACUGCGGUCAAGCAUAUAAUGAAGUAUCUGAAAAGAACUAAAAAUUAUAUGCUUGUGUAUUCUGGUAAUGAACUCAUUCCAGUGGGUUAUACUGAUUCUGACUUUAUGUCAGAUAAGGAUUCCAAAAAAUCAACUUCCGGCUAUGUGUUUACAUUGGGAAGUGGAGCUAUUAGUUGGAGGAGUGUGAAACAAUCUUAUAUCGCAGACUCCACAACUGAAGCUGAAUAUGUGGCUGCAUCCGAAGCUGCAAAAGAAGCUGUAUGGCUCCGCAAGUUCCUACAAGAUCUUGAGGUGGUACCUGCUGUAUCUGCACCCCUGAAACUAUUUUGCGAUAAUAGUGGUGCGGUAGCUCAAUCUAAGGAACCAAGGAACCACAAGAAACAAAAACAUAUUGAGAGUAAGUAUCAUCUUAUAAGGGAUAUAGUGCAAAGGGGUGAUGUGGAGGUUACUCAGAUUGCGUCACAGCAAAAUUUGGCAGAUCCUUUUACUAAGGCCAUACCUGGGAAACCUUUUAACUUGCACUUAGAAUCCAUGGGCAUGCGUGAGAUGCCAAAUAUGCUUUGAGAGCUAGUGGGAGAUUGUUGGGAAAAUAUGCUCUUUAAAAGCAUAUGUGUUUAUUUAAUUGUAAUAAAUAAUUUUUCUGAUUAAUAAAAUAGAUGAGGUAUUUUAUUCAAAUAUAUUAAUUGCAUUAAUAUUUAUAUUAAAGUCCAUUUAAUCAUAUUAUAUGUAUUUAUGUGAUCACCAUGUGGAUUCACAGAAGACAUAAAUACAAGUUAUCUUAUGAUUAAAUAAAUUUAGUUCGCAGUUGAUAAAUAAAGUUGGGCACUUUAUUUAGGUAUAGACUGUAAUAAAUUCAUUGAAUGAUUUGUCUUAAUCAUGUAUGAAUUUAUUGGUGUAGUACGACUACAUUGAACAUGAUCACAUAUGAGAUUUAAUUAACUUUGUAAUAACUGUCAGACUUAUUAAAUCUCAUAGGCGUUGAUUUUACUGUAAUCUUAAUCUUGAGUUAAUUAUGAUUUCAUGAUUGUAAUUGUUAUUCCAUUUGAGUUACCAAUGGGCACGACACAUCCUUGUGGUCAAGAUUACCCGGUAUCUUGGUGGGAGCAAUUAUGAGUAUUGGAGUUAUGGAUUAACAAUAUAGAAUUUGUACAACACAUCUCUUGAUGGGUUUCUGAACUAAACAGACCUCAAUUACAAAAAGAUUUCAACACCCAAGUGUCAAUAGGAUUCUGAACUAAACAGGCCUCAAUUACAAAAAGAUUUCCCAUACCUGAUUUCACAAUCUUAGGGUAAUCCUUUUUCCAGUGACCUUUCUGUCCACACUUAAAGCAUUUGCCUUUCGGCUUGCCAUCUUGCUUGGUAGACGGUUUCUUUUUCCCAGCUUUCUUCUUACCUUUGCCUUUCGGCUUAGGCCCAGAAGAUGAACUUUUUUCAGUAAUAUUUAUGCUUCCCAGAGAUUUCUCAGCACGAUAGAUCUCUUCAGCAGAAUGGAGUUCGUUCAUCAAUUCAGUUAAGGUCAUGUUUCUUUUGUUCAUGUUAUAAUUGACCUUAAACUCAUUGAAUGUUUCUGGUAGAGAUUCUAGCACCAUGUCAAUCUUUGAGUUAUCAUCGAUUUGUGCUCCCUGAAUCUCAGCCUCAUUCAAAUAGUCCAUCAUUUUGAGGACAUGAUCACGAAUUCUUGUGCCCUUCCCCAUUUUACUGUUCAUAAUUCCUUUCAGCGCUGCUUGUCUCGCUGAGCUAGUACUCUGCCCGAACAUCUGUUGGAGACUAUCCAUUAUUUCAGUGGCAGUCUCCAAGUUCUGAUGUUUGGUCUGCAGAAUAUUAGAAAUCGAGGCUAAAAUGUAGCACUUUGCCAUUUCAUUAGCCUUUUGCCAUUUCUCAUAAAGCCUCCUCUGAUUUCUAUGAGCAUCAUCCGCUGGAACUGGAGGGCAUGGCUGGGUUAAGACAUAUUUAUAAUUUUCAGCAGUCAGGACAAUGAAUAUAUUUCUUUUCCAAUCUAUAUAGUUCUCUCCAGUGAGUUUGUUUUGACUCAGAAUAAUAGUAAGUGGGCUCAGGGAAGACAUUUUUUGAAAAUAAAACAUCCAUGCAUAAAUAAUUUGAAAUAAUAUUCAUAAUAAAUGACAAAAAUGCAUAAAACCAUAAAUGCAUUUUAAUUUAUUGUAACGAUAAUCUAAUUCCGCUUUGACAAGCUAUCCGGUGGGAAAGUCAUGUCUAUACUUACUAGACCCAAUUACCCAUUGGAUUAUUUACUUUCAUGUAGAGACAUGAUAAAUAAUUAUCGUUAUCUUUUUGGGCCUAAAUUUGUUAACAGAGCUUCGUUGGAAAGGUUAAUAACAAAUUUUAGUUGAGUGUAUAACCAUUGUUUCAAUCUACGUAUUUUUCAUAUCAAUAGUCACCGUUGGGGUGAACAAUUGAUUGAAAAAUAUUUCAAUUUUAUCUUUGAAGAAGUUCAUCAAAUAAAAUAUCUAAUAUAUAUACCCUCCGAAGGGAGCAUCACUGUAUCAUGAAGUCGAGGUAUAUAUAUAAUUUUAUUAUUGAACUAACAAUGGAGCCCUUGGGAAAAUUAUCUUGAAUUUUCCCUCUCCCACUCAAUAUUUUAAAAUUGGUUUUUCCUUUUUAAAACAUACAUAUUGUUAAUUGCAUGCUUCCUAUAAUAUUAUCUAGAUGAUAUCAAAUAUUAUUAAGCAUACGCAAAUUUCAAAUAAUAUAAUGAAAUUCAUUAUUAAUGAAUGACAUGUAUCAUUAUGCAUAGAGUGGCACUACCUAUUCUAUAUGACAUGUUAUCAUGGCAUGUGAUCAUCCAAAACAUAACAUAUAGAAAAACAAUUAAAUAAUCUUAAUUCAUGGCUUUCCUAAUAAUGAAAAAUACAUUAACCCCAAGCCUAAUCUUCAUUGGGCUUCUUGUCAAUGUCCAUCUUCGAUAAACUUGUCUUUGUUAAUGGACUAGGGGAAAUUGGGCUUUUAAAUUUAUAAUUGGUCCAAUUUUAAUUUUAAAUAAAUAAAAAAAAUUUUAUAAAAUUUUUGGACCAAAAAUAAAUUUAAUGUAUUUAAUUUUGUCUAUGCAUUUUAAUCCAUUAAACCCAAUUGAAAUUGGGCCUAAAACUAGGAUUCAUUAAACCCAAAACUAUUUUUGGAUUUAAACGCAAAAAAUUAAAAAUAUUUCUGCCUAACUGAAAAAAUAUGAAACUAUAGGGACCUCCAUGAUAAAAACCAUGGAACCCUAAAAUCACAUUUUUCUUUUCCUCUUCUUCCCCAGCCGCCACCAGUAAAAAGCACCAGCUUCUGUUCCCGGUCAACCGCCGCUGUUCAGAGACGCCAGCCGGUCUCCGACACAUCUCUGACGAGGAGCCAUCGCCAAUACGCCGGAAACAAGCCAACCCUGCGAGCGCUACUUGCUGGAACGCACGCUACUUCUGCGCACGCUGCUGCUGCGCGUACAGCGCGUGCCGCUGGCCAGGCUGGCCGCACGCGUCGCUUGCUGCACGCAGCGCCCGCUGCUGGCAGCGUGUGCUGCCUGCUGCGCGCAUUGCCAGCAUGCGCUUGCAGCGUGUACCGCUCGUUGGCUGCAGCGAGUGCGCUGGUCGGUGGUCGAUGUCAAAAUUUCCGGCCUCCGUCGCUUUCAGCUCGUUUUCCAGUGAUGAUUCUUCAGUGAUUUACAAAUUUUCAACGCAAAUUUUGGCUUACAAAAUUUCAAUUACAUUAAAAUAAAUCAAGAGGGAAACAUGGUGAUAAUAAACCACCCCUCUUGUUACAGAUCCAAACAAAAAAUACAGUAGCACAUCUAACCAUGAAUUAAGACAAACCAUAAACAUGCUUUAUUCAUAUAUUAAACAAAUAAUAUAUAUCUGAAUAAAAUGUGCCAAUCUAAUACAUAAAUUUCAAGAUUAAUUUCAUACGAAAUUCUUAUAUAUUAAUAUGAGGCUGCUCUGAUACCAAUUAUUGGCGAAAAAUGAGGUUUUUAUAAUUUUUAUAAAACCUUUUGAAGAUCGCUUUCAUAUAAUAUAUAAGAAUUUGUAUUCUAGAAAUCGUACCUUGAAAAUCCGAGUUGGCUUUUUCCGCUGAAAUGAUUUAGGCUCCUAGAUCACGAUCCGCCACCACCACUCCUGUUAGAUCACGUUCCUUCACCACCACGCUUGUUAGAUCACGAACUGUCACCAAUGAUCUUCCAGGUUAUGACUCAGGUUCGAUCUGCACUUGACGUGUGGGCGCCUUUAUCACUACCAAAGCAACUAGCACGAGAAAAUUUUUCUCUCAACAAUAGAGAGAAAAAUCUUAUUCUGCGAUUUGUAUAAAGUGGCUUCUCUUCUUUCUUUUGAGAAAAUAAGCCUUUUAUAUCACCCUUUAGUGAAAACCCUAGGCUCCCAAUAAUUAAAAAAAAAAACUCACGUUAUUUGCUUUUUCUAUAGGAGACCCACCUUGUAAAAUAACAUAAGGCCCCUUACACAAAAGCUAAUUAAAUGGAGCCUCCCACUAAAUGAUAUAUUUAGGCUUUUGACCCAAAUAGCUAGUUAUCUUACUUAUUAGUCCCGUAGUGGUGCAGUCAAUUAAAUGAGCUAACCCGGGAAUCAUUUGGGAACAUACAAUAGUGGCUACAAUAAUUAGGCCUGUAAUUAAAUUAGCCCAAUUAUUUAAUUCCAAAUCUACUCCACUAAAAGAUUGGAACUGACUUCCAUAAUUGUAUGCUCGAAUAAUAAUUCGUCCCAAGCCACAUUAAUUUCUUUACUGCACAAUCCUUUGUACCACAUCGUUAAUUAAAUUGAUAUCUCAACUGUCCAAUUAAUUUAAUAACAUCUUAUUCCUUGAUCCUUACUGGUUUUCUCUAAUGAUCAUUUUCAACAUACUAAAUAUGUUGACACACUCUGGCCAGAGAAUUCUAUGAUCAAGUGCCGAAAACCCAUCAAGAGAUGUGUUGUACAAAUUCUAUAUUGUUAAUCCAUAACUCCAAUACUCAUAAUUGCUCCCACCAAGAUACCGGGUAAUCUUGACCACAAGGAUGUGUCGUGCCCAUUGGUAACUCAAAUGGAAUAAAAAUUACAAUCAUGAAAUCAUAAUUAACUCAAGAUUAAGAUUACAGUAAAAUCAACGCCUAUGAGAUUUAAUAAGUCUGACAGUUAUUACAAAGUUAAUUAAAUCUCAUAUGUGAUCAUGUUCAAUGUAGUCGUACUACAUCAAUAAAUUCAUACAUGAUUAAGACAAAUCAUUCAAUGAAUUUAUUACAGUCUAUACCUAAAUAAAGUGCCCAACUUUAUUUAUCAACUGCGAACUAAAUUUAUUUAAUCAUAAGAUAACUUGUAUUUAUGUCUUCUGUGAAUCCACAUGGUGAUCACAUAAAUACAUACAAUAUGAUUAAAUGGACUUUAAUACAAAUAUUAAUGCAAUUAAGAUAUUUGAAUAAAAUACCUCAUCUAUUUUAUUAAUCAGAAAAAUUGUUUAUUACAAUUAAAUAAACACAUAUGCUUUUAAAGAGCAUAUUUUCCCAACAACAACUGCAUCUACGGACUCGUUGAUGUCGGGCCAGUAGUAGGUCCAUGCCACUAUUACUCCAUUAGGUUUUUUGAGUACCCAUUUUACUUGUUUGUAAAAUUGAGGCAAGUCAAACCAAUGUAGUGAUGUAGCAAUUGUCACUAGAUCUACACUUGAUUGUGUUGCCACAUUUUGUUCAAGCUCAGUUAUGGACAUGGUUGGAGGAGUAAGUUGAUACCGAAUGUUGGGGAGCUUUAUUGCGAAUUCUAGCUGCUUUGGGCUUGUGUCUGUAGCAAUGACAUUCUUGUAGAUUGGUGCAAGCUGAAGACAUAUAAUUGAGAAAAAAUAUAAAAUAUAGGAGGCUAUAACAAAAGUACACAAAAUUGAGAAGGCCAUAUAUAAAAAUUACAUAGACAUGGUGAAAUUUCAACCCAUACUCAGUUUUUUUGUUUUUUUUGUUUUCAUCCUCAAGGUUGCCGGGAUACUCUAGUUCCCCCCUUGGUAGUUGGAUAAGAUUUUUCUGUACUCGUCUCACGACUAAAUUUCCAGAUAAUGUGGAUAUUGAUUUGUAGAUAAUACAUACAUAAUUAAUCAAUGAAAAUAAUAGGGAUUUAACUAGGGAUUGGCAAUGGGAGGAGAUCGACAUUUCUGUAUCUAUUUCUGAUACUCUACUUGUAUCCUUGUACUCUCCCCGUCCUUUUUAAAAUUGCUUGAGGAUAGGGAUGGGGAUCUCCAAAGACACCCGAUCCCGAACAACUGAUUUUUGAACUUGAUUUAAUCAUAUUAAAGUAAAAAAAUAAAUCAUUUAACAACAUAAACACAUCAAAACAAAGUAAAAUCAUUAAAAUCAUUUUCAUCAAACUAAUUAAGUUAAUGUCAUCAAAAUUACAAGAUAAUCUAUGAAAUUAAGUAAAAAUAGAACUUCAGGGUUGAACACAUACAUUAAAGUCACAUGGUAUAAAUCAUUAAGAAAAUUAUCUUCAUCAAUCUUCAAGUGUUCAUAUCUAUUAUGAUAUUUUUUUUAUUUAUAUCCAUACCAUCACAAUUUAAAUUUUAAAUAUAAUUACUAAAAAUUUUGACAGAAAUAAAAUAAAAUAAAAAUUAAAAAUAAAAAUUAAAAAUGGGGAAACGAGAGAGACGAGGAAUUCACUGAAUCCCCAUCUUCUCCCUAUAUAAGAUAUUGAGUGUUAAGUUAUCUCUGUUCGUUCCCCGAAUUUUAAUUAAGAUAUAAAAUUGUUCCCACACCCUACACAAAUGGGAAAAAUCCUUCAAGACUCGUCCCAUGAGAAUUUCUGCUAUCCCUGAAUUUAACAGUUAUAUAAUUCAACUUUCUUAUAGCUUGGGAUCAGAAUUCUGAAAUAUUAAUAUGGAACUUUUGUAUUAUUCAAAAAUAAAAUCUAAAGAUGUGAAAAGUAAACUUACGGAUGCAGCGGCCUGCCCGCUUCCGGUGCCGACGUCCCAUGCAAGCUCGUUUUUGGGUGUUUUAGAGGCAAUGAAUUUGAACAAUUCUU
rnacentral:lncRNA from 1 species